AGUUGAUGGCAAUUGUCCGGUUAUCAAUGGCUAUUGCCCGUCCACUGUGAUUCCACCGUUCCCAUUUCCGAAUUAUUUAUUGCCGCGCUAGAUAAAUUUACCAAUACCCAAGUCAUUAAAAUUGAUAGGUCACCUUGGUCGGACGACUAAUUACACCAUCUGGCACUGGAAACUCUUAUCGAUUUGUCCUGGAUGAUGGCACCGGCAGGAUCGUUUGCACCUACUGGUAGGUGGUAAAACAAUUCAUAUGUCCCGUUGCUAAAAAUUGUUGUCCGCAUAAUAUUACUGAUCUGGUGCUAUCCACAGGUUUGCUGGGCACGGUGGAGACAAUCGCGUCAUGAACAUACCGUACGUCUCGGAACGAUAAACAUUGCUACACAUGUAUAUGACCCGACAAACACGGAACAUAGUAAAAAUUAGGCACUUGAACACAUUUAGUGUGAACUAUCAUAUAUUCACAAACGCUUCGCUGAAUGUGAACUAGUGUUGGAGACUAUGUGUGGAUGUUAGCGGGCGUCCAGACGUGAACUCGAACACCCCUACAAUCACCGUGUUCAGUUGCAGGUGAGCAUGAUUUCACUGAUAUCAAUGGAAUCAUCUUGUUUGGCCAAAAAUGAUUUUCUAACGCAUUUGAUUUCGUGCAGACCUAUUGCUCCGGAUUUCAACCGUAUCACUUCACUUCCUGCAAACAAUUUAUGCCUACCUUGAUCUACAGCGUGUACGCUGCAUUCCCCUGUCUUCUUUAGUUUCGUAAUCAUUGUUCAUACUGGAUGAGUUAUAUGUUAACAAUAACAUCUUAUGUUUGUCUUUUAUGCCGUACCAAAAAAACAGCCUCCUCCUGAAACGCUCAUUACCGACAUGUACAAUUUGCUGCGAGACUACCUCGACACUGGGUAUUUAUUGAUUUGAUUUUCUAUGCGUAUGAUCCAUACUAUGGUUGCCAAUUGCAAAAUGGGAAUAAUUCCAACUGUUUUAUGAUGCAGUGACGAGGGUUUACCCUUCUCGUGGAUCUGCACAGGCACCAGCUUCAAUCAUGUCAUUGUUAGGUAUUUUUCGUUAAAAUGUCUGAAUUCAAAAUAUAAACCCAUAAACGAAAAUAAACAUACAACUAACAUUACAAAUGUGUGGUUAUGUGAAGGAGGGCUUUGGAUAUCCUUGUAUCUCAUGAGUUGGCCACAUAUGACCCUGCGGAAGACAAGUACAGUCUACCAUGAAGUGUAUUCGUCACCGGAGGAUCCAGACCAACAACACGCAAUUAUGAUGCGUGCUAUAUUAAGUCGUGUCAAUAAAGAAAAUGCGAGGGGAGUGUCCGCACACCUGAUCGCCUGAUAGCAUGUCCGGCGUCAUAUCCCCAUCGCAUCAGUGUUGUUUCAUGUUAUAAUUAUGUAACGCUAGUUAAUCUAGAAGUACGUAUUGCGUAUCAGUGGUCAUGUGUGACCCGCGUCUAAAUCGCCUUGUAUCGUUAUUAUUUACUGUUUCGCCUAUGCCUUAUCCCGGCAACAUAUUAGGUGUAUUCGGGCGUCCUGCAUUUUUGGCGUCCGUUAUGGAUUGUAAUGAUGUUUGUCGAAGUUUGAAUAAUGUUGUGUCUCUACAACUAGCAUCAUUUGUUGUUUUUAGUGGUCACCUUAUGUUCUUCCAACCGAUCGAAGCAGAUCUUGCACAUCCUACAUGCAUGAUCCCGAAGAAAGCCGUUGACCUCAUUGAGAGCAAUGCGGGCGUCUUGGACAAUUCAGGCGUCAUCCUUCUGCAUGAUGAUGUAGGAGCUCAUGUAACGACAUCGUUCAAGAAAUCAAAAGAUGGCAGGCUCGUCAUUCAAGGAGGUUUUCGGAAGUAUGUCGAAAAUCUCGAAAUGAAGUAAGAUGAUAUUGUGGUCAUCACUUUUCACAAACGCGCUGGUUCUGCGUCCAUGACCGUCCGGGUGUGCAUCUUAUCCUAAAACACCUACGUCGUGCUAGUGUCUGUUUAAGGCAGCUUAUUAGUCCCUAUGUGCCUCCCCGCUGAUCGUGCAGCAUCUCAAUGCCUGCCCUUUUGUGAGAACUCAUGAACCUGGAACAUGUAACCUUCUGUGUUGGUAUGUGACUAUGUGACUUUUCCACCUAUGCAUGUCCGUUGACUAUAUUUCCGAUCCAUUGGCAUAUUUUCUACUAAUGGCGAUCUGCUCUGCAUUGCUAAACUAUAAUUUCCCAUGGCUGUAUGUUUAAGUUGGAUGCAACGCACGUAAUGACAUGAAUGGAAUUUGUGAUUUGUGUUGCAACGUCGGAAAUUCUUCUUACAUGAUCACAGCGCGUAUGAUAUGUUCAUCACUGGUAUAUAACCCACAUCCCUUCCAUCCAUAUUGUCAUAAUACGCAUCAUGUGCCCGGCACAUGUGUCCGCAUAUCUUGUCCUUGGCACGUACUGUUUCGCAGUUGAACCCAGACCGUGCCUACUCUUCUUGUACCUUGUACAUGACACCCGGACGACUCAUCUUGUACCUCGUACAUGGCAUCAGGAUCACUCAUGCUUGGUACACGACACUUGAUUGUAGUAUACUCCACAUGCACGUGAUCGCAAGGCCAGCCCAAUAUGUGCCAGGUACAUGUUUCCGACUUGACUACGAAUUGACCGUCCUAUGGAAACGUAACUGUUGGCCUAUGACAUCGGAAUUUCGUUUACAAUCUAACAUCACACAUAUAUUCAAAGCAAUGAAAAUCAUGCAAACUGGUCGUCCAUAUCUUGACAUCCAUACCAAGCAAUUUAUAUAUUUAGUCGUCUCCGAAUACAUUAGCUCACACAUAACCUUCGAACCCAUUCGUUGGUUUGACAGCAUAAUAUAUAGGUCCACCAAGACAUUCUAGUGCAUUAACAUACAAACGUUUGGGACCCAUACAGAUACGGUCCCAUGCAACAUGUGCCCCUAACAACAUUCGCCCCUUACAUUCAUUCGAGACUCAAUUUUGUAUCAUUCAUCGAUAGACUCGAUGAACUGAUGUGACCUCUUUGCAUUGUUCCCCUUGAGAUGUAGAAUGUUGUAAAGGUAAUAUGCCGCCAGAGAACUGUCAUCGUCCUGGAUAUGAUUGCGGAAACGUGAUCAAAACAGUAGUAACAAAUGAUUCAGGUAAUUUGAACCUGUGAUGUCCUAUUCUAUCUUUUUGGUCUUAACGACUACUAAAUUAGCAUACUUACCACAUGAAUAUUAUCUGUCUCUUGGUCACCGAUGAAGUUCCUGCAGAAGUUCAUGGUGUAAAACCCAGAUAGGUGCCUGCAAUGACGAUACGUAAAUAUGAUGAAUUUCUUGAAUCACGGAAAAUUCAACGGUAUAUCGUAGUAAUAUAUAACAAUUUCUUCCUAUGACUGGAAACACUUGUUUCGAGAAAUGGAUGUAACUGGAUGUAUUCUGGUUCUAUUUACGACCAUUUGUAUCCAUUUUUUCGACAAGUACUUACUGACGAAGGGAUUAAUAUUGAACGUGUCCUUAUCGCAAGAGAAACCAUGAGAAUUCAUUGAUUACCUUUCAGACACUUGACGUUUAGGAUGAAUAAUAGCCGGUUCUAAAUCACCGAACCCGAAGUCCCAAGAUUCAAAAUAUGUUUUUGCAAACUCAGACAUAGCAGACUUCAACAGGUUGCAGUUUCUCAUAUGUAGCUGUUUGAUUGCUCCACCAUUCUCCGAUGCUAAUGUCGGGUCAUAGAUGAACACCUUCUUUUUAAUUGUAUGUAUUGCAUAACAUACCCAAGCGAAGCUGACGUAGGCCGGAAACAUAAUCUGCAUCGCAAUUAAAUAUCCGUUGGACAAAAAAUUACUCAAUUUUUCAUUCCAACAUGAAAAAAAUUGUAUGCCUGCUCAUAUUCCAGGAUACAUUUUACAUACCAGCAUACAAUUUGGUACGUCAUAGGUGAUAUGAUCUCCAAUGAACUGACCCCGAAUGGAUUUAUGCUGACAUGGCAUAUCUCCUGCCAUCACACGCAUCUGCCAAAAGGGACAAAGUAGCAAGUAGUGUCCGUAAACCUUGUGUCCUUCUCAAAUACAAAAUAGUCUUGAAUAAUCUUAUAAACGGAUGUCGGUGAGGACGACCUUGUCUGCUCACCGAGGUACCAGUAGGGAGGAACAGAGUCAGCUACUGAACUUGCAGGAGUGCCCAAAUUGUCCGAAGGACAUGCGCUGGGGGUGUGUGAUGACUGAUUUGGUCCUUGACCAUCACUACUCCCACCCGCAAUGCCAUCAUUUCGCCAUGAUCCGCAUGAUGAUGUAACACCUUGAGAUCCGUUGUUAAUGUCAGCAGCAUCCCCAUCCGAUAUAUAUUCGAAUAAAGCAUAACCACCAUCUUGAUAUCUAGAGCUGACACUCUUAUUCUUGCCCACCUUUGGUGACGGGGUGAAAUCCAAACCGAAAUCAAAACUCGGCUCAUUGUCCCAGCGAACCGUGUUCACACGUUACCUAACAUCCAUUGUGUUCCCCUCAGGAGUACUAGCCAGCAGGUCGGCCACAUUGAGAUCGACAUCCAUCUCAGAAUUAGACCUCAGCCCCCACCAUGUUGCGAUGCUACUGCGUUGCUUGUUGCAUCGAUAUCCACACGAGGGCGUUUAUUUUGCAUAUGGAGAACGAAAGCUUCAUCGUUCCUCUUUUCUGGGAUGCUCACAUUUGCGAUCCAACAUAUAAAACUGAUGUCAACAACUUAUUAGUUUUACACACGUAUACAUAUGGGAUGCAUGCUAACAAGACUAAUAAAAAUUACGUGUCUGACAUGUCGUAACACGUACCAUCAGAAGCCAUAUCAGCCUCCACUGUUGACGAUUUCGUGGCAUUGUUGUCUCUACUUACAAUCGUCGACCCGGAUGCAUGCAUUACACCCUUAUUACGUGUGAAGUUGUUGUCAUUCAACAUUCUGUAUAUCUUCCCAUAAAAUUUUGCAUUCAUAACUUCAACAUGUUUAAUGAUGCCCUCUUGGUGUGCUUUCAGCUCAUUAUAUAGGUUAAGUUUGGCCUGCACACAGAUCAGUCAUAUGGUUUCAGAAAAAUGUAUGCCAUCAAUUAAAAAGGACUGGCUCUACGACAACGCACAAAUAUGAUGUGAAACACCGCUGCGGUCAGGAAUGUCAGCUGAUGCGUCAAGCCCAUAGCAUCACAAAUCUUGGUUGCACAUGCCCAAGCAUCCCCCCUUGUUGCGCAUUAUCUUGGUCAUCUGCCCUGGAAUAUGCUGAACUAUCAGCAUCACAUGGCUGCAAAACGAAACACAUAUAAAAGAUGAGUAUGCCCUAUCAGCGAAGUUGCGGUGCUAAUCUGGAUACUGAACUGGGUGGGGACUUACUGCUGAAAUCCCAUAAAUGAAAUCUCCGUUUUUCGAUGAAUCCAUUGGCCUUUUGUCGGCAUUGAUCAUGGCUCUAAUUUUAUCCGUGGUGAAAGCUUUAAUUAUGGGGAACACAUCAUGUGUCAUGCUUAAAUCCCCCAACUGAAUGUUGUCUAGAUAGAAAACCUGAGAUACAUGCCGAAAAACAAAACAACAAAAAACAAUAUUAAUAACCCGUCGUUUAUCAGAUGCGUAUACUGUAACAUCAGCUGUGUGCUGAUGAAGUAAUGAGGUAUCUGAAACGUCUUGACCUGUAGGAAGAGCAGACAUCCUGUUAUGUUCGACACCGUGGCUUUCCUGCUAAUAUCUUGUUUCAUCUUAACGGCGGCUGCGCACAGUACUUCAACAAUAUAUCUUCCCCAAUUGAACUUAUCCAAGCUAUCCGGGUCGACCAAUGCUGGCCAAUAAUCAGUGUAGAAGUAGUCAUUCUUGACUGUCGGUGCAAAUACAUGUGUCAUCAUGAAUACGAUGUACGCAGUUUUGAAUGCAACCACCUCUGUUUGUGACAUCUUCCCCUUGUAGUCACGUGACAGUAUGGACUGUAUGCUCUUCAGACUUCUUACCUCCUUGUUCUCUAUCCCCAAACGACCACGCAAGUAUGCAUAUACAGUGUCACUCCUAUCAAGAGUUUUGUCCAUGAUAUCUGUUCCAGCUGCCGGGAUUCCGAAUACCUUCUCAACAUCACUCUCAUUGAACUUAAAAACCUUAUUCGGUCCCAGUACAAAGGCUUGUCUGACCUCAUCCACCAUCCCUAGAAGCCAGACCAUAUGCCUGACGCUUAGUUUGCUGAUCAGAGGCAUGUGUAGAGUGCCACCCCAACCCAUAGAGUUAACGAUUUCUCGUUUCUGCUGGUCAAGCUGCGAAAUAAUAGAGUACACCUUUUGAAUUGAACAUCUGAAAGUAGGGCCAUUAUACCCGUCGCCCCUGUCUGUUUCGUCCUCUUCAACGAUUGUGGGCAGCUUGUUGAGCUUGCUGUGGUUCUGCAGAUUCAGAGCAUUGGUCAAAUGUAGAACUCUUGAUACGGAUAAACAAAAACGUUGAUUUCUUUUCUACGGCUGUUACCCAACAAACACCUUGGCGCAUCCCAUCUAACAAAAAAGGCUAACUACAAAACCUUGGUACUUCUAAAACUGCAUCAGUAUCAGCUACCCUGCACUAUCCAAUCAGUACAUAAUGUGCAUAUUGUUUUGCAUCCCCGGAUCCCAGUAUCAACAGUGGGAGAUUCAAAUAUUAAGAUUACAUGCCAUCUUACCUGCAUAAUGGCUGAUUAUUGACAAACACCUGACGCUUAUUUGCUUCCCCAAACCUGACCCUAAUCUUGCCUGCAGAAGAAACAAAUCCAUGAAUAAUCUCAAUCCUGGUAUGCGCCCCAUCCCAAAAAACAUCCAGACCAUCUAUAAAACCUAUGCGAUUAGCUGAAAUCACAAGUUUACCUGGUGUAGCUCCGUUCAAUGGCUGGCGGCGCGAGAUGACCUGGGCGGCGGUGCCCGCCGCGGCCCGGCACUGGUCGUCCCCGGCGGCCCGCCCGUCCCGGCGACUCCUCUUUCACCAGGCACUCCUGCCUCCCGCAAGGAUUUGGCUUCAGUUCAUGCUCUGCCUUCCUUGGAUCCCCCUCCCCCGCCGCCUAGCAUGCUCCUAGAGGUACGAGUGGGGACGCAGAAAGAGCUUUCUCACGGGCCGCCUCCCCCCGUGUCCGAUAGUGUCUGAACUUUUCUCUAGCUGAACAGUACCCUAGGCUAUGAAAUAGGCAUAUCACGGGCGACGGGUACUACUAACCCACCCGAUGUAACCGUGGCCUGGCCAUCUUACAGUAAAGGCUGACGCAUAUCCCGAUGUAUAUGGACGACCCGGAUAAGAGGGCCGGGGUGCAGCUGUUCUAUUUUAUAUGUUCGCCCGGGGACGCGGAUUUUUCGAACAGUUGCACCGGGGCCGCGCUAUCGUAGCGGUCGAAGCGACGCGCUUUCCCUCGAGAUGCCCACCGCAUGAUAGCAAUUUAGUGCAUGUAUUACUGUGUCAGACUUCUGUCACGGAUCCUGUCGUCGUAGGGUAACAGCUCUACCGCAUCCUCUGUAUUUUUUUGUCUCUACCCGACCCCUUGCAUACCGACGCGGCCCGUGAGCACGGCUGGUAUUUCUCCCCUAUACAGUGCACUGCUCGGUCUCCUAAGUCUUCGCUGUAAUGGAUUGGGUGCAAGGAGGCGAGUCAAUGGCGCCGGCGCUCGCCGCACCGGGAAUCUCCCCGACGGCCGACUACAGGUACGUAUCAAGACUGGAUACUGGUGUACUAAUCACAACGCUCGUCCGGGAUGCGUUAUAGUCGACUUCUUAAGAUUCCCCAAGCGAGUUUCUGAAUCCCCUCUCCUUCUUGUUCCUGAGCCGGAGCACAGAUCCAACCAAGCCGCCGGCGACCUGUCCUCUGCAAUCAUGCCGAUCGAUGGAGGGUUAUCGGGGUCGGAUCUAUCGUGGCGUCCAGCCAUCCAGGAUAUCGCGCGAGUCCCAGACGAAACGCCAUACUCCAAGUAAGUUUAUCCAUCUUCAGUGUGUCCGAUCCACAAAAUCGCAGUAUUGAGCUCAUGUAUGUCCUCCUAAACUUUUGAUCUCAAAUUUUCAGUGCACACAUAGGGCUAGUAACGCCUCCGGCCACACUGAAGGGCGCGAAUGCAUGCGCCUACAACUCAGAUUUUAAUCCAGAUGUACGUGAUGAUGAUUCUGGAAGUGUUAUAGUUGUGCCUGGAUGGAAGAAACGGUAAACACAUCCGCCUACACAGAUACACCAUUUAUUCAGAACUGGGUGAUUCGCAUGUCACAACGUUGAAAAAACAUAAGUUGUCAUAAAUAUUUCCGAUAAUCGAGCUUAUUUUCAUAUUAGGAAGUCUGUUAAUGAUAGUUUUUCAAAAUGAAAUAAUAAUGUUCGGAUGUUGCCUGGUCGUAGUCGCGAUAAUACUACCAUUCCACAUCAUUAAACAAUUUUAAUAUGUAUUUUUAGCUGGGAUAUUAUGAUUUGUCGUAAUGAUAACAGAUUGCUUACAUUAUAAUCAGGAAUGUUGGGGCUAAUGGCCCUGACACGAGGACACCUCCGUCCACAAAGACGGCCAUCGAGCUACGUCUGCUCGAAAUGAAUGAUCGUAGAGGCAGUGAAAUCUUCGAGCCAGUGGUCGGAACCGACUUCGACUCAUGUCAAGAAGCAUAUGAUUUCUACAAUUUGUAUUCGUGGGAGCACGGAUUCGGCAUUCGGCGUGGUAGAAGCAGAGUUAACACAAACAAGUACAAGUUGAUGCACGAACUUGUUUGUCAAUGCGCGGUAUGUAGUAACUUCGUGGUCAUUCUUUUCCCAUCAAGAUUCUGUUCUCUACUAUAUUUCCAUGUGUGUCUGACCCGCUUUCACAUGUCGUGGAAAAAUUAUACAGGGAAAAAUUGACAAAGAAAACUCGUCAUCAUGCAAGAUCGACUGCAAGGCUAUGGUGAGAUUGCUGCGUACCAAGGAUCAUGGAUGGUACGUCAGUAUGUUUGUCAAGGAGCACAACCAUCGUUUGUUGGUUGGAUACGAUGCAAAACUCCAGUGGAAUUCACACGAUUUCAUAGACCCCGUUUCAUUUGACUUCAUCAAGAAUCUUCGAAGCAAUAAUAUCAGUGUUGGCAAGGUUUAUAACAUUUUGUGUGGAGCAGAAUGGAAUUCGCAAGCAAUUCCCUAUAGGAAGCAAGUAUUACGAACACUAUGUGCCAAAUUCUCUCAGGACACAAUGAAAGAUGAUCUGACAAAAACCAUGAAACUUCUGCAAGGUAUGAAGAUGGAGGACAUGAAUUUGAAGGUUGAGAUAGACGUAGACGGAGAUGGUCGUGUCCGUACAAUGCUAUGGGUAACAGGAAAAAAUCGUCAGGACUAUUUUCACUUUGGUGACGUCGUUACCUUCGACACAACAUACAAGACCAAUUUGUAUAAUAUGCCGUUUUCCUUGUUUGUCGGGGUAAACAACCACUUCCAGUCUGUUAUAUUUGGUGGUGCACUAAUGCGAGAGGAAACUGAAGCUGCUUUUAAUUGGCUGUUUAAGACUUUUGUGGCUCUGAUGAAUGACAAGCAUCCCGUGACGAUCCUAACAGGUAUUGGUUAAUCUAAUUAACACACCUAUUUGAUCACAAAAAUCCUACACAUCAUGAUUAGCCUGUGAUCUCAUGUUUAUAUAUAUGUGCAUUUGUUCAUCUUUCAGAUCAAGCUUUAGCUAUGAAAGGUGCGAUUGAGAGUGUUCUCCAGAACACUAAACACAGAUGGUGUAAAUGGCAUGUCCUCCGGGACGUUAAAGGAAAUAUUGGCCAUGUGUACAACAAGUCUUCUGGGUUCAAGAAGGAAUUCAACAAGCUAGUCAACGAUGUGAUGUGUGUCGAUGAACUCGAAUCCAAAUAGUUGUCCCUCGUGAACAGGUCCAAUGUCAGUGAUAAUUAGUAUAUGGUCAGACUAUAUGAUAAGAGGGCCAUGUGGGCAGAGCCGUAUUUCAAGGGAAUUUUUUGUGCUGGAGUGACAAGCACACAGCGUAGCGAGAGUGCUAAUCAUAUGCUGAAACAGUACAUACCGAGGUCAUCCCCCAUGCACGUGUUUGUUCGCCAAUACAACAAAUUCCUUGGGUCAAGGAUGAGCGAUGAGGCAAGGGAAUUCCAUCUAAAUGCAAAUGUAAGACCCACGACUCCGUUUACAUCUCAUUAUCUAAUAUCAUUAUGAAUUCUGUUAGUCGGUUUGCUAACGAGCCAUCGUUUGUGUGUAGAAAUCACGUACUUAUGAAUCCACAUGCAAUAGAGGAUGAUGCUGCAUCAAUAUACACACGUUCUGUUUUGCUGAAGUUCCAAGACGAGCUUUAUAAGUGUGGGAGUUAUGUAGUGACACCUGUGGUGCACGGUGCACAAUACAUGGUUAGUGUCACACCAUCCAAAGUAAAGGAUGCAACAAAGAGGAAGUGGAGAAAUGUCAAGAUCGAUGACGACAGGUAGUUCAUAAACUUCGAUUGUGGGAUGUUCGACCAUGUCGGUAUGUUGUGCAGACAUGCAUUGAAGGUAUAAUGAUGUCCGCACUGGUAUAAUGCGUUCUUUCCGUAUGGUUAUCUAUCCCAUAUUAAUAGCAAGUCCGUAAGAUAAGUAGUUGUAACCAUUCACCCCGUGCAGGUAAUGAUUCGUGAAGAUUUUCUGAAGAUCCCCUCUAAAAAUAUUUUGAAGCGAUGGACUAUAUGGGCAACCGGAUCUUAUCCAGCAGGCAUGGACAUGAGCGAUAACGGGCCACAUACAUAUGACACUAGAUAUCUAAAGAACCUCCUGCAUAUUGCUGUCGAGGAUCUCAUGAAUGCGAGUUCACAUGAUAAGAAGAGUUUAGAAGCUGCGGUAGAAGGGAUGGGCAAACUCACAGCUGCACUACGGAAGAACACUAGUAUGACUGAAACCAUCCAUCGUCUGGAACCGCCACACAUCGAGAGUUUCGUCAACAUCCACGUCAACACGGUUCUCGCUCCUGAACGGGUGAAAAAAAGUGGAAGGCCAGCGUCCGUGAGUCCUAAGUCAAAGAUGGAUUAUGCUGCAGCAUCUGCUAAGAAGAAAACUAAGAGUAAUAAAACUGCGAAGAAAAAGCCAUGUGGUGAGUUGAAGCCAAGGGAGCGUGCUCUAUCUUCCUUGUAUGAUAAUGACCAGACUACAGAUACCCCGUCUAAGGAGUUAGAAGAUGAAGUAUCGCCAAAUAUCUCCAGCAAGAAGAGGAAGGUAAUAUCUAGCACAUGCCACGAGCCUGGACACACACGUCUGAAAUGCACCAGAAGAGGCAUUGCACAAAACCUGUUCGAGUGCCUUCAAUUAUAAUCACGCCUGAACCUGGGCAAGUUGUGCACAAAGUUGUAUUUGUUUGUACUACUCACAUGCACGUUGGUGAAUGCUUCUUACCCAGAUUAGUUGUAUGCAUGGAACCAGUUUAGAUGUUGUCAUUGUAUUAUUGUUAAAAUUAGAUGUCGCAUUCUAGCGUUGUCUGCUUUGCACGUAUGCUUUUGUACGCUACGCCUAUAUUCAAAAUGCUUGAAAGUGCACAGCUUUAAUCGGGCACGUGUAGUGUGAAGCAAACGUAUUCUAAGUCUGCUUAUUUCAUAACAGCAUAUAAACUCAUCACAUUCGAAGAUCAUAUUUUCCUUAUAAUAUUUCGUAAAUUUACUUCCUGUACGAUCUUAUUUGCUGGAUCACUUUGUAGUAAUACACGCAUGUUUUAUGCCGCAAUUGUACGUGGAUGCCAUUAAGGUUUGCCGAUAUGUUAAAUGUUGUCGUCAUGAACCAUGUAUUUACGUCCCUAUGCGUGGAGGUGGAUUGUGCUACAAUUCACAUCCGCUUUGUGAUUUACAUGGUUUAAAUUUACUUGCCUCGAUGUGAACUAUCUGUUGGUACAUAAUGCUAAAAUGUUGCAUGAUGCAGGUUGAAAAUGUAUGAUGGCAAAAAGAUGGCACCCGACGCAUUGCCAUGAUAUAGAUCGUUGAAGGCACGACCAUGCUUACAGGAGGUAUGUAUGCCGUCGGUGGUACCAUAUACCACGAUCUUUUCAUUUACUAAUAUUAAUAUUUACCGAUUCAACAUGAUUUGCGUUUUGUGUUCAUAUGUUUCGUCCAGUACUGGGCUGCUGAUCAUGUUAGAUUUUACAUAGACCACGUUUUACUGCAUGUUCGUAACAACGAUAAGAAUAAGCCAAAUAUUUUACACUUGUAGCCACGUUGUUAUUAAAAUAAAACCAUGAGCGUGGAGACGUGCAACAAACUUAAUUGUCGAUAACACUCUCUCGAGAGAACAAAAAACACAUAAUGAUCGAAACAAGAAUACCCCAACAGUGUGAUCGAAACACAUAAUUAACUUGAUGUUCGUACCGACACACAUACUUAAGUACCAAAUACAUGGAUAACGACAUAGGCAUAAGUUCCAAACCAGACCAAAUCGCAAAGCCGGUGCAUCAUAAGGCAUCCGGUACAUAAUACGACAUAACCGAUAUAACUAAGACUUGAUGAUGAACAACAUCAACGUGCGAUCUUGAAGUCGAUCACCGAUGGUACCACAUAAUAUAGCUAAUAUAGAUAAUGGAUAUUGUUGACGCCUCCAUUCUUAACAGAUCACUCCGUGAAGCUUGCCCCGUCGAUCAUGUUCUCAUUUUACUCCAUGGUCAGCAGAAGGUAUGCGAGUGCUCUCACGAACCUCUUCAUAGUCUGCGUGAAACCACGAUGACAGAAUUUUAGAUAGAUAGUGUUGGAUCAAAGAAUGACAUGAGAAGUAAAGGUUUGGCUUAAUGAGGAUGAUUGUUCACUAAUAUACCUUGUCUCCAUGUUUCGGGACCCUGGUGUCACCGAAAUGCCAGCAUGCAUAUGCCGCCUCCAAACCAGUGUAUCCACUGUGGAAUAAAAAUGCAUUUAUUUCAGAUAUCAACUAAUUUAAAGCAUGUAUAUUUGAUCUGCGAAAACAUCAUAUGAUGUUGUAGACAGUACCGUUUGAUCUCUUUUCUCCCAUGCCAUCCCGGUAAGAACUCCCAGUCUUUAACGUCCCAUUCCGGUUUUCCCCUUAUGAGCUCAACAGAGUAGUAUAGCGAUUUUAGAAUGGUUUCAGCCUUGUCUUGGUGCCUUUCAGUCAUAGUCCUGCACGACAUUGUUGUGCAAUCCACCAUGUAUGCCUUCUUUGAGUUUGUGUCAUAAACAUAUGUCAUCCAUAUAUCAUUCUCCUUGUGCGGUAUGACGAACUGCACGAUUCACAUCGAUCAUUCCGGGUUUAAGAGUUGCCCCGCAUCAUAAGAAAAAGUUUUUGUAUUAUCUAGAUGUAAUGACUCGUGAGUACCUUAUCACAGAACUGCGGGUUAUGAGUCUCCACACCACCAAUAUUAAACAUGGACAUAACAUAGUAUAGCGGGAAAUUGCCUCCGUCCUCUUCUAUGGCGAUUUCCUGGCAACCAAAACAAAAUAAUGUACGUUAUUAGACGAAGCAUUAGGAUCAACAGAAUAAAGCAAAACGUUGCUUGCAUCCUCGUCUACCAUAUAUUUCUAUAUAUGUGGGACGCCAUAUGGAAUUACACUUACAGCGAAUUCAGGUGGCAGAAAAUGCGUGCACUGGCAAUUAGGAUUGUUCUUUCGGUGGUCCGACUUGUCCUGAAGCUCGUUAUACAAGCAUGCUAUGGCAGCAAAAGUUUUCUUAGUCACAUCCGACUGCUCUGUCAACUCAUUUAUGAGAUGCUCCCCAGCAAUGAUCUCAGAUACAGGAUACAUAAUUCUGAUAUAAGACCUGACACAAUCGAUUGAAUGUAGGAUUAUCAGCAAAUGAUAUGAUUUUGUUAUCAAGUCUACAACUGCACAAGCACUUAAGGUAUACGCACCUGGACGUAUCAGUCAAGGGCCCUGGUUUUACCAGAUAUUGGAACAAAACCUUUGCCCGUUCAUACGGGCAUAAAUCCUUUAGAUUGUGCCAAAUGAUGGGUACUCUGUUAUCUACCAUGAAAAUGUUUUGGUUUGCAACAUGUUGAGUGUUGUCUGGCACGACCUCCUCAAUUCCAAUGUCCGAGGCAGGACCCACAUUGGCGUUUCCAGAUAGAGACCUAGCCAAUGAUCCCCCCACAUUUGAUGCACCUGAAAAGAUAACACAAGCACACCGAUAGUCAAUCGAUGUUGGUUUGGCAUCGGGAGGGGAUGGGGUGGGGUGGGGUGGGGUGCUGUUGUGUUGUGCGGGUGGACUAGUAUCAUGAUUGAUUUUUGUUCUGUGAUCUUACCAUCGUCGAUGCUGUGUGUCACCGUAAUGCUGGGUGGCGCACCGCGGUUUAAAGCCGGAGAUGGAUAUAUACCCCUCUCGGCGGCUAUGGACACCAUGGUUAGAAUGUUGAGCACGUCUGUAUGUCAAGUACAAGAGAUUCAUGACCAUUAAUAAAAUGUAUACAAAUACAACCGUGUAACUGGUGCAACACGGACCUAUUGGCCGGAUAUUGUUGAGAUGGGGUGGUGACGGAUUGUUUAAGUGAGUUUAAAUAACAAGACACUCGUAUAAAAUCAUUACAGUAUGGUGACUAUCGCUUGUGAUAUGAUAUAUUAUUACGGGUGUACAAACAGGGUAAUUCAUGCUAACUAUAAGUUUGUGUAUGAAUGUUUGUAAUGAUUAAAUAAAGAGUAGGUUGAAUUGAUUUUUAUUUAUACACGUCUUUGAUGGACCUAACAACAUACGUUCAACCAUUAUAUUUCGGUAUGGUCCAUAUUGUUAUAAUUAAUGCAGGGGGCAUUUAUGUUUCAUAACAGUAAACUUAAUGGGGACUCACCAUCCGGCAUUGGGUUGGGGACGCCCGGUGGGACGCCACGUGAAGAGACAUCUUCUCCACCAGCGAUAUCAGCCGGACGCUCAUUCGUAUCCAUCAUAUAUAUGUGGCCCGCAGCAUUCAUACGAUAUGUAUUGUCAUGGCGACGAUUUACAGACCCCCCAUUGUUACUUGGUAUCACAGGAACCGCAUCAGCAUUGCCGAAAUUAUUUUCGGUGCAAUCCCCUGCAGGUGCAUUUUCAUUUUGGCGAUCUGAUUCGUGUCCCGGUUGGACGCUACGAGUGUCAUCGCGUGCAGCAACAUCCUGGGCAACGUCUUCUCGAAUGUGUUCGUCUGGCCAUGUGGAUUUUCAGGAUAAACUUAUCAAUAUGAUCAACAUGGUUAUUGAUACUGAAUGCAUAAAUCAACUGUUACACGCAUCAUUGCUUACUAUGCAUACCCUGUAUGUCUUCUGACAUUGCAGGCACCAUUGGCUCUUCAAAGCCAGUAUGGUCCAGAUUCGCAGCUUCAUUCUCGCAUACUACACGGGGCGCCGUUGGUAAAUCAUCUGCGCCAUUCAGAUGCACAUAUGAACGAUGUUUGAUUUAGUAUGACAGGUUAUCAACACAAUCGUCCCGGAAUGAAGUUGGGCACUAUGUUUACCUUCGGCUAUAUGUGACACACGAUCUAUAUGUUGAUCAGUUUUUCCUGCUGAUUGUUCAAUUGUGGGCUGACUCAUACGCAUUAACAUAUAAUUGAGAGCUGCAAAAAAAUUGAUGGCCUUGUGUUAUUGCUCGGUUGCAUCAAGAUAUAUUACUUUAUCAGAACGUUUUGGUAUUUGAAGUUUGUGUUUUACCACCGUUUUGGGAGCCGUCAUCCGUGGGAUUGCUGGCAUUCUGAUCAUUCGCACGAUCUGUCGAAAUAACAUCAUACAAUUUUGGUUAUCUACAAGAUUUUGGUCUGGGGUUUGAAUCAAUAAUUAAUGCCGAUAUCUAAGUCGCAUUAACUGACCUGCAUUCUGUUCGUUGCCAUCAUCAGGUAGCACAAUAGGGAAUGUAGCAGUGCCAGGAACUUUUGGCAAAUGUGUCACUUUUGCAUGUGCGGCCCUUCCUGUAAUUUUACGAUCAUUUAGUUCUCAAUACCGAGUACGUGAUGGUGUUUCUGCAUUAUGCAUAAGGCAUACACAAGUUCAUACUUGAAUGAUAUUUGAAAGACAGCUUGGCCUUCAGCCUAGAAUAAUUGCUAGUGUUGCAUCCGUCGUAUGAGCUGUAUUCCCUCCUAUUGAACUCUGUACAUUUGCAUACAAUGAUUUGGUAAGGUCAGUUCGGAUGGAGGUGAUAUUGCACUAAAUGUUCACUAACUGUUUCCUUACUAAAGUAAACAUGGGAAAGUUUUACACGAGUAUUAUAUUAAGUCAUUCCGAGUUACCAGUCAAUAUCGCAUUAUCUUGAGAGAACGUUUUUUCGUAAGUGGCGUCCAUAUUGAGUGGCCUUUUACCUGCGCCUAUUUAAAAUGUCGUGUUAACCCAUGAUCAUAUAACGUCUGUAUCAUGUAAACACGUGGCAAAAAUAAAUUUGAGAAAUGAAAGCCAACACAAACUUGUACUUACUUUCUCUCGUUCUAACUUCCAGGUUUGGGAUCCGUCGGCGAGAAGUAUUUUCGCAGUCGGUCGGCUCGAUCAUGUGGACCGGACGUUUUGCUGGGCAUGUAGCUACACGCUUGCCUAGUACUGCAUCUCCCAAUCCCGGAAGCAAUCCAUCCCUGAUGAGCAUCUUCAAGGCUGCACCAGCUACUUUUGUUGCUUUCUGUAUCCAAAAUCACGUUAUGAGUUAUGGAUCUUGUUUGCUAGAAAAUGCUUAAAUGGUUGUUAUCAUAAUUCGGAAGCCAGAAAGGAAUAAAGGGAAAAUAUUUUUGCUGGUGCAUGGAAUAAAACAUAAGAAAUUUUGUGUUUUGUUCUGUGAAUUUGAUGCGGGAAGAGUAGUACCUUGUCAUAAUCAGAAUCGUAGGAUUCAUGAUCGUCUGUGCUAUCUCGCGUGAUUUCUCGGUUAGGCGUCAAGCUAUUGUCCGAUGCCCCAAGGCGCGCUCUGUGAUCUCCUCCUUCGGCUUCAUCUUCUGGCUCUAAAAUGCGAGUACGUAAGAACUGAAAUGUCAAGAAACAGUCGGUCAGUAAGUAUCGGAAUCAUAAAAUGGUUUGGCGUGACAAAAUUCUCAGCAAGGUGGUCCAAAAAUGCAAACGACAUUAUACCUUGCGUAAGCCGUAUUUGUGAAGUAGGCCUGCCCUCCUGUGGUAUUUGGAUGAGUUAAUCAUGUUCUUCAUUACCGUCGGGUUGUAUGCUGCCAUGCGAGGAUCCUUAGACUCAUCGACUCGGUCAUUGGUGUUUCGGACCAGUUCCAUGUAUAAAGCCUGCGCACAUACGAUGUUAUAUAUACAUGCCUAAAAGGUGCAAACGAUUUGAACCGUGGACGUACACUAGGGGAGUAUGAUUGUUGUUACCUGAAGGUACAAGAGACAUCCCUCGACUGUCACUUUAGUCUUCAUUGCUUACCGUUCUUGGAUUGUGAUGGGAGCUUUCUGAAAUAUGAAGUCAACCCCGUACUGAGCCCAGUUGUACUGCUUGAUUCUUGAGACGUCUUUUAUCGCUUGAAGAACUUCCCUUGGUACAUCCUCGCUUGGCGCUACAACACUAGUGAUGACGAACGCGACGAAUGCACGUAGGAACGUCUCGUUCUGCGAGUAGUCCAUCUCUUUCCUUGCCAUGGCCUCCAGCACCCUACUGCAACGGUGUCUCUUGGACAGUGAUGCAAACUGCAAACAGCCGAUAGAGCAUGCAUGAGUCGGCGACUACCAAUGAAAUCAAGGUUGCAUUUACUACAUGCAUGCGAACACAGUUAUACACAUACCAGAACCUUGCCGUCCUCGCUAAGAUCGCCAUCUUGAGACAUGCAUGGCUGGAUGAUGACAUCUCCGCUUGGCACGCCCAUGAUCUUGCUGAACGAGCUCGCGCCUAUCGGCGCCGAGUUCGAAUGCCCAUCGACUAGAGCCUUGUCGAUGACACGAACCAGACUCACCAAGAAGACUGAGAAUCGUCUAUCAAGCUUGUCACACUCCGGGAUCUCAAGAAUGCCGUCAAACCCUAUGGACCUGAUUAGGCCCAUUUGGUACGACGUCAUUUUGUCGAUCACACGGCGGAGAAGCUUGAUGUUCGCGCUGCUGAAGUUGGUUUCGAUCUUUGUCGGAUCGUAGUGGUAAGUCGACUCGGCCAUGGGGUUGCUCAUCGCGGGGGCUUGAUGAAGGUCUCUGGUGGAUGGGUUUGACUGGAAGCUUUCGUUCGGCGAUGCAGCCGAUUCAGACUGCAUCUCUCUUCUCUCCCGGAGAUGAGCUCCAGGAGACCUCAAAUGGAUGGAAUGCCUGCAGGCUUGCGGUGGGCUGGGUGUGUGCCAAUGUAUAUGUUGUUCGCUUGGCAACCCUAAGGGACUAUAACAUUUUCAAAUGGAGGCGGACCCUUAGACUUCUGCAGCUAUGCUAGAACUCUAUGGUCAAGUCACUGUUUAGAUCAGAAUCCAGUUUCUCCAACGCAGCGUCCCACCUCCUGCUACCUGUUUUGUCUCUUGUACAUGCUCGUGAACCGGCGAUGCCGGAGGCGCAAGCCGGGUAGCCAGCACUCCCUAGACGUAUACGGUUGCUUGCCAGGGUUGGAAAAACGCCUUUUUCAUGGCUCUGUUGGGCACAUCGAUUCCAUAACCUUUGAUGUGCAUGGCCAAUGCAAACAUGUACAUCCCGUCCUUGCCAUGGUAACCACAGCACAAAACGUACAGGGCCAUUGUGUAGUACAAGUAGUACAACCCGCCAUCCAGUGACAACGUAUCGCCCGGCCGGAUUGCCGGCUUAAGUGUUUUACUGACUAACGUAUAGGUAUACGAGAAUGCAUCGGGACCUUACGAGUGUGGCUUAGGCAUCGAAGCGCGUGUGUACAGAAUGAUUCGGCAUGCGCAAUCGAUUAGCCAUCCUGACGCAUUAAAUGACCUGACCUGGAAUGCUCACUAUGCAUGGUUUUACGAAGGUCAUCUUGUACAUAUCCCAUGUAUGCAUAUAGUGGUCAUUGGUGUGUUAUGCCAUGAUGCACCAUAUGUAAAUAUUACAUAUAAGUACUGUAAAUUUGUGUGCGAUUUGAGUGUAUCAUCCAGGGCCUGACUUUUUUUAUACUUACUGUGUACGAUUUGUAUGCGCGCAAUAACUCAUGCAAAUCUUGUUGCAUGCCUUUUGCCAUACACAUCAUUUAUUUUAUGAUAUAGAAAACGGCCGCAAAUUAUUUAAAAGCCAAAUUCCGACGGGCGCUGUCUUAAGAAAUCAAGUUUGUUGAUUUUAUUUUGUUUUGUUUUGCCGUCAUAAGAAGUAGAAAUUGGUAUACCAUCCAUGGUGGACUGCAUGGAGUAAACCCCUCACUGAUGCCGCUUUGACGGCUUGUGUUGGAGGAUGCACCGAAAGUUUUAAUGUUGUGCCAAACCACGGAGACAGGGGGCGUGGUAGUGGGGUGUGUCGGGAAAAUACCCCGCGACUGAUAUCCAGACCAUUAAGCUCGGAGGUUAGUACCCGCCGAUGAGUUCAUUAGGACAAGAGCAGUCUUAUGUCACAUAUUAACGAUUAACCGGGAACUUCCUCCAUCCAUGUUUGGUACGGUCCACAUAUGCCCCCCUCCCCCACAAGUAUAUUUUGCCUGUACCCGCGGUUUAUUUCGAACACUAGCACCUGGGCCGCGUUGUUAUGCCAUUCUAAGCCUUGCACUUUACCUUUAGAUGGAUUGUCGUUAAUCCCACCCCAUGAUGGUUCCUGUGUAUAUUGUUUACUUGCAUCCGUUCCAUCAUUGUCACAUUGCGACGGCUAGAUUGCCAUCACAUUUUGGGCAUUUCAAAAAACGUAGGCAUUUGGCAAUGGGUGUUAUUUUUUUUAAGAAUCGUCAUUUGUCGCUGGUUUGUGCUCAUGCAUGUUCUCCCCGACAGCACUUCGCAUGUUGUACGUGUUAUCAUGUGCCGGACGAUCCAAGUAUAAGUAUUAUCAAAACGGAAAAUGGUGGAUGCCACAAAUGCCACCCGACCAUCUCUGGUUGAUCGUGGCAAUGCUGUUGUCUUGACCGAAGGUAUUGUUAAUGGUUUGGGAUUGAUACAUGUACCAACAAUCAUCCACGGUUAAAUAUGCAUCAAGUUAUUGAAUGUGGACCCUGUGUUGUUCGUUUAUUGCAUCGAUGCUUUUUUUUAGUCCACAUCCGCGCGACAAAAUGUGAAACUGCAUGGAGUAGAACCGUCACUGAUGCCUCUUCAAUGGCUUGGUUGGAUGGUGAACCAACAGUUAUGAUCCCGUGUCAAACUAAGAGGACAGGGGGCGGGUCAGAGGGGGGGAUGUCGUGAAUAUACCUCUCAGAUGAUAUCCCGACCCUUAAAACCCAGUGGUAAACACCCACCGAUGAAUUCGAUAGGAGAAGAGCAUGAAUACGCUUGAUGUAGCCGGGUUACGGAAGCCCAUAAGAUUGCUAUGCAUGGGUAGCAAGGUCCGACCAGUCCAGCAAAGAACUGUUCGAAGAGUCACGACCAAACGGAGGAAGCAUGACCCCGGCAAAUGUCAAACCUGGCCUGGGUUGUUUGGUGCGGCAGAUAAUAUGGGUGACCUUUCUAGUGCGGAAUAAGACCGAACAUGGGGGUGGCCCGGCGGAAUAUUUUUUUUAAUUUUCCAAUCAUCCCCUGUUUAAUAUAUGUAUUGUAGUUGAAAGAGUCUUGUUAUAGUCAUUUUGAAUCAUGAUGUACCAACAAAAGUGAUAUGAGUACUCAGGAAAAUGGUUGACACGAAAAGCAACAUGUUGAGACAUGUAUCUGUCACAUUGGGAUUGUUAGGUUUACACGCCAGCCGAAGACACAUGAGUUCUGGCAAUGCAAAAAACGAAUAAAAGUGUUUAGCACAUUUGCAGCAAACUCAAAAAUGGACUAUGUACGUUGCACGGUAAACGUGCAUAUAGCUAACCUGUCAUUGCCGCCCCAUCAAUGCCUUGUGUGGUAGGGGGCACCUAUAUGUGCCAUGCAAUGGCAGCAACGUAUGGUUAUGGGGCGGGGAGGGGGGAGGAAUGUCGGUGGUAUAACGUGUGUAGUACCAACCGGCUUGUAAGCCUAGUGGGCAGUACCCACUGACGGACACAAUAGAACAAGAGCCGUCGUAUCAUUAUGUCUGGUAACGCCGUGUUACGUAAGCCUGGAAGAUUACAUUGCAUGAUUGGCAAGACCCGACAAUGGAAGCAAGAAUUGUCGGAGGAGGCACGACCAAACGGAUGGAGCAUGACUAUGCAGAUGAUAAAACUCGGGCGAAGUUGAAUGGUGUAGAAGAUGAUACGGGUGACCACUCAUAGGUACUACGUGCCUCAACAUGGGGGUGGCUCUGUAUAAUAGUUUCUUUUUGCGGAAAGAGUAAGAGCCGGGAUGUAUCGCGGUUGUGCAUUAAAAGUCGGAACGUCAACAACCAUAUGAUGUGUGCAACCGAAUGAAAUACCCCAAAAACUAUUUUUAACUCCUCAACCACAUAUAAGAUGAAACCUAUUAUCAUUUCUGAAUAGGUCGAUGAAUCAUGCAUCGUUGGUGUCCGGUAUGAAGCUAACAACUUUGGUGUAUCGUUUGAUUUAUACAUACGACAUGCCCGGCUAUGAUCUAUCAAAUCAUUUGUAGUGAGCUUGCCAGGGCGUAACAUUUUUUGCUUAAUAUCCGUUUGAGAAUACAUAAAAAUUGUAAAUCAAUCGUCAUGUAGUUAUAUGAAAAACGGGAAAAACGACAACUUUCAAAUGAUACAUAUUUAAAAACACGAUAUCAUAUCAAACACCAUUCGCACCUAGUGACAUGCGUUCUAAAUGAUCAUAGGCGUUGAUGUACCGCGUUUUACUCGCACACACUAACAACUAACCCUGAUAUGAUUUAUACCCAAGCACACCAAAUGGAUCCACCACAUAAUGAUCAUCCGACCGAUUAGGUAAAUUGUGCAUACGAUCUACUUAUUUGACAAACACUAGCACUGGAACGGCCAGUAGUAUGCAGCAGCAUAUCAUCUUGAUGGCCUGCAAGCUCCCUUCUAUUUCUUUUAACUUACGGUGGAGCUCCACCAUUGCUCGUGCGGCUUCAACUUCACGCUGGUUGACCGCUUGCGACGUCACCGCUACAGCCUGGCCAGUGCCGUGGCCCAUCGAGCCUGCAUCCGUGUUGCGGUUCAGGAAUGCACGGAGAUAGACCUUCUCUGACUUGAAGAAACCACAUCCGUCCGGCCUCCCCUACAGUAUCACAACGAAACUACUACUCGGUCAAGGGGGGAAUCAUUAUGGAACCAAUUAUGCAACAAUAAAAUGAAUGUUUAUAGCAUCCUAUCUAAGACGUGAGAGCACUCUCAGGAUUUGGUCCACCGCGGAUUGCGGUGGAUAUACAUGCUUAUCGUGUAGUAUGGGCACUUGUAGAAUCGCUACCCUUCGGUCUCGGGCCUCGUUGAAACGAUCAAUUCCACUUGCGUUCUUCCGCAGAACGGACAUGUGAUCAGAGGCAAUGGGGCGCCCGUGUUCGUCCACCCAGCGGACGAACUUGUCGACAUAGCUAUAGAGGCCGAUCAGACGGUGGGAGACUAGAUGAAUAUAUCUAGCUGCGUGGCUUGUAUGGAUAUAUAUAGCCUGCUUGGAUGUGUAUGAUUGCAUAUGCGUUGUGCGCGCCGAAGACAUGCAUGGUAUUUCUUUUCUUUUUGUGAAUGGUAUCUUGUCUCACGGGUGAGAGACUUUCUAUCAUUUCGAUAAAGCAUAUGUUUACUCUAUUGUUUUACCGUGGGCUGACGUUGAUGCAACGCCCCGCACGACGUAUUCACCUCCAUGAGACAUGCUGUAAAAAAAUGGAAUGAUUUAAUAAUUAUAUGGUUCAACUUUGGCACACACGUACGAACCAGCGGGACAUAAGCUUUGGCUUCGACCUACACGCCUUCAUGGUCUUGUUACGCAUGGAAUCUACUUUACCCUGUCCGCGUGCCGGUUUCUGAAAAAAUUGGCAACCGUAACGUCACCUCUGUCUGCGCGUCUUACAUGGCGGAUGGAUCAUUUGUGGAUUGUAUACUCACUCUUCACUCACACUACUGCAGUCCCGCCACAGAAAAUCAAAGGGCAUCUCCGCGCGCUACCACCCGUGGUUCACCCUGCAAUGAUUCCUGCAACGCCAAGUCCCUAUGCCUGUAUAGAUUCUUCUGUAUAUUCCAGCACAGACCUUGCGUACUUAAUGUUUGUUUGAAAUAUGAGCGGGCUGGUUUUGCUUCCGUAAUUGGUACAUACGCUACCACUCAAAAAAGGUCAGUGCUUGCGUGACCAUGUGUUAUACCUAAGAUGAUACGAGGAUCAAUCAUAUGAUUAUGCAUGAGCUAGUCGUAUUACUACAGUAAAAAUCAUGUUGCUAUCCCACGCCCCACAACCGGUGAUUCACAUACUCAUGGCGUUUUCUGGCUACCGAGGUCUCUGAAAAGAGUGGUAAGCGGCAUGGGUCUGUGACGCCGGGCCUCGCUGCCACAUCGUGGUCCGUGCCUUGUCUCGGCUUGUGCGUACCUGAGUGCGCUGCUUCUCACGAGAGAACAGCGCCGCGCCGCCGGCCAAUGCAUGUUAGUCCCACCGCUGGCACCUCCCACCAAGCAGUUAAAAACAAAAGACCCAUUACAAUCCACUCCCCGAUGCAUGCAUGCACCCGUGAGCCCCCGUGUCUCCACCACCCUCACUGAAACUCCUUAAAUGGAUGUGGGCGACCAUUGCAUUUGUACAUCACACGCAUCGCGUCGCACUCAGCCACCACAACACUUUCAUAGUUUUUAGACAUGUCGGCACCUCGUCGCUCCUCGUCCGGACCACGGGGCAGCACGCAAGGCCAGAACGUAGGAUCUGUGAGCAACUCCUAUAUCUCUCGUUCUACGGCUGCUCGCAGGGCCAUGCAAGCUCCCAGCCCGGACGCUCACGGCGAUGGUCAGUAAGACACUUUCGUAUUUCCUACUCACCAUGAUGUACAUACGUGUUUUGCGUUGCCGGGUUAUAACCGUAUUGUGCAUAUUCUUUCAGCUCGCACGUGACGACAUGCUCGUGCCAGUCACCGUCAAGAUGUUAGGCGACGCAUCUGUACGCACAGUUGAUGGCAAUUGUCCGGUUACCAAUGGCUAUUGCCCGUCCACUGUGAUUCCACCGUUCCCAUUUCCGAAUUAUUUAUUGCCGUGCUAGAUAAAUUUACCAAUACCCAAGUCAUUAAAAUUGAUAGGUCACCUUGGUCGGACGACUAAUUACACCAUCUGCCACUGGAAACUCUUAUCGAUUUGUCGUGGAUGAUGGCACCGGCAGGAUCGUUUGCACCUACUGGUAGGUGGUAAAACAAUUCAUAUGUCCCGUUGCUAAAAAUUGUUGUCCACAUAAUAUUACUGAUCUGGUGCUAUCCACAGGAUUGCUGGGCACGGUGGAGACAAUCGCGUCAUGAACAUACCGUACGUCUCGGAACGAUAAACAUUGCUACACAUGUAUAUGACCCGACAAACACGGAACAUUAGUAAAAAUUAGGCACUUGAACACAUUUAGUGUGAACUAUCAUAUUCACAAACGCUUCGCUGAAUGUGAACUAGUGUUGGAGACUAUGUGGAUGUUAGCGGGCGUCCAGACGUGAACUCGAACACCCCUACGAUCACCGUGUUCAGUUGCAGGUGUGCAUGAUUUCACUGAUAUCAAUGGAAUCAUCUUGCUUGGCCAAAAAUGAUUUUCUAACGCAUUUGAUUUCGUGCAGACCUAUUGCUCCGGAUUUCAACCGUAUUGCACUUCACUUCCUGCAAACAAUUUAUGCCUACCUUGAUCUACAGCGUGUACGCUGCAUUCCCCUGUCUUCUUUAGUUUCGUAAUCAUUGUUCAUACUGGAUGAGUUAUAUGUUAACAAUAACAUCUUUUGUUUGUCUUUUAUGCCGUACCAAAAAAACAGCCUCCUCCCGAAACGCUCAUUACGGACAUGUGCAAUUUGCUGGGAGACUACCUCGACACUGGGUAUUUAUUGAUUUGAUUUUCUAUGCGUAUGAUCCAUACUAUGGCUGCCAAUUGCAAAAUGGGAAUAAUUCCAACUGUUUUAUGAUGCAGUGACGAGGGUUUACCCUUCUCGUGGAUCUGCACAGGCACCAGCUUCAAUCAUGUCAUUGUUAGGUAUUUUUCGUUAAAAUGUGUGAAUUCAAAAUAUAAACCCAUAAACGAAAAUAAACAUACAACUAACAUUACAAAUGUGUGGUUAUGUGAAGGAGGGCUUUGGAUAUCCUUGUAUCUCAUGAGUUGGCCACAUAUGACCCUGCGGAAGACAAGUACAGUCUACCAUGAAGUGUAUUCGUCACCGGAGGAUCCAGACCAACAACACGCAAUUAUGAUGCGUGCUAUAUUAAGUCGUGUCAAUAAAGAAAAUGCGAGGGGAGUGUCCGCACACCUGAUCGCCUGAUAGCAUGUCCGGCGUCAUAUCCCCAUCGCAUCAGUGUGGUUUCAUGUUAUAGUUAUGUAACGCUAGUUAAUCUAGAAGUACGUAUUGCGUAUCAGUGGUCAUGUGUGACCCGUGUCUAAAUCGCCUUGUAUCGUUAUUAUUUACUGUUUCGCCUAUGCCUUAUCCCGGCAACAUAUUAGGUGUAUUCGGGCGUCCUGCAUUUUUGGCGUCCGUUAUGGAUUGUAAUGAUGUUUGUCGAAGUUUGAAUAAUGUUGUGUCUCUGCAACUAGCAUCAUUUGUUGUUUUUAGUGGUCACCUUAUGUUCUUCCAACCGAUCGAAGCAGAUCUUGCACAUCCUACAUGCAUGAUCCCGAAGAAAGCCGUUGACCUCAUUGAGAGCAAUGCGGGCGUCUUGGACAAUUCAGGCAGCAUCGUUCAAGAAAUCAAAAGAUGGCAGGCUCGUCAUUCAAGGAGGUUUUCGGAAGUAUGUCGAAAAUCUCGAAAUGAAGUAAGAUGAUAUUGUGGUCAUCACUUUUCACAAACGCGCUGGUUCUGCGUCCAUGACCGUCCGGGUGUGCAUCUUAUCCUAAAACACCUAUGUCGUGCUAGUGUCUAUUUAAGGCAGCUUAUUAGUCCCUAUGUGCCUCCUCGCUAAUCGUGCAGCAUCUCAAUGCCUGCCCUUUUGUGAGAACUGAUGAACCUGGAACAUGUAACCUUCUGUGUGUGGUAUGUGACUAUGUGACUUUUCCACCUAUGCAUGUCCGUUGACUAUAUUUCCGAUCCGUUGGCAUAUUUUCUACUAAUGGCGAUCUGCUCUGCAUUGCUAAACUAUAAUUUCCCAUGGCUGUAUGUUUAAGUUGGAUGCAACGCGCGUAAUGACAUGAAUGGAAUUUGUGAUUUGUGUUGCAACAUCGGAAAUUCUUCUUACAUGAUCACAGCGGGUAUGAUAUGUUCAUCACUGGUAUAUAACCCACAUCCCUUCUAUCCAUAUUGUCAUAAUACGCAUCAUGUGCCCGGCACAUGUGUCCGCAUAUCUUGUGCUUGGCACGUACUGUUUCGCAGUUGAACCCAAACCGUGCCUACUCUUCUUGUACCUUGUACAUGACAGCCGAACGACUCAUCUUGUACCUCGUACAUGGCAUCAGGAUGACUCAUGCUUGGUACAUGACACUUGAUUGUAGUAUACUCAACAUGCACGUGAUUGCAAGGCAAGCCCAAUAUGUGCCAGGUACAUGUUUCCGACUUGACUACGAAUUGACCGUCCUAUGGAAACGUAACUGUUGGCCCAUGACAUCGGAAUUUCGUUUACAAUCUAACAUCACACAUAUAUUCAAAGCAAUGAAAAUCAUGCAAACUGGUCGUCCAUAUCUUGACAUCCAUACCAAGCAAUUUAUAUAUUUAGUCGUCUCCGAAUACAUUAGCUCACACAUAACCUUCGAACCCAUUCGUUGGUUUGACAGCAUAAUAUAUAGGUCCACCAAGACAUUCUAGUGCAUUAACAUACAAACGUUUGCGACCCAAACAGAUACGGUCCCAUGCAACAUGUGCCCCUAACAACAUUCGCCCCUUACAUUCAUUCGAGACUCAAUUUUGUAUCAUUCAUCGAUAGACUCGAUGAACUGAUGUGACCUCUUUGCAUUGUUCCCCUUGAGAUGUAGAAUGUCGUAAAGGUAAUAUGCCGCCAGAGAACUGUCAUCGUCCUGGAUAUGAUUGCGGAAACGUGAUCAAAACAGUAGUAACAAAUGAUUCAGGUAAUUUGAACCUGUGAUGUCCUAUUCUAUCUUUUUGGUCUUAACGACUACUAAAUUAGCAUACUUACCACAUGAAUAUUAUCUGUCUCUUGGUCACCGAUGAAGUUCCUGCAGAAGUUCAUGGUGUAAAACCCAGAUAGGUGCCUGCAAUGACGAUACGUAAAUAUGAUGAAUUUCUUGAAUCACGGAAAAUUCAACGGUAUAUCGUAGUAAUAUAUAACAAUUUCUUCCUAUGACUGGAAACACUUGUUUCGAGAAAUGGAUGUAACUGGAUGUAUUCUGGUUCUAUUUACGACCAUUUGUAUCCAUUUUUUCGACGAGUACUUACUGACGAAGGGAUUAAUAUUGAACGUGUCCUUAUCGCAAGAGAAACCAUGAGAAUUCAUUGAUUACCUUUCAGACACUUGACGUUUAUGAUGAAUAAUAGCCGGUUCUAAAUCACCGAACCCGAAGUCCCAAGAUUCAAAAUAUGUUUUUGCAAACUCAGACAUAGCAGACUUCAACAGGUUGCAGUUUCUCAUAUGUAGCUGUUUGAUUGCUCCACCAUUCUCCGAUGCUAAUGUCGGGUCAUAGAUGAACACCUUCUUUUUAAUUGUAUGUAUUGCAUAACAUACCCAAGCAAAGCUGACGUAGGCCGGAAACAUAAUCUGCAUCGCAAUUAAAUAUCCGUUGGACAAAAAAUUACUCAACUUUUCAUUCGAACAUGAAAAAAAUUGUAUGCCUGCUCAUAUUCCAGGAUACAUUUUACAUACCAACAUCCAAUUUUGUACGUCAUAGGUGAUAUGAUCUCCAAUGAACUGACCCCGAAUGGAUUUAUGCUGACAUGGCAUAUCUCCUGCCAUCACACGCAUCUGCCAACAGGGACAAAGUAGCAAGUAGUAAGAAGCGCACAGACAAAAAUACACUCGCCGAUAUGUAAACGGAUGCUUUUAUUAAAAAAAAGGUGUUUCACGCCUCAUUCCUUUAGUUAAAACUACAAUAUUUGAUGCGACGUGUUACCAUGAGAUCAGCCUCCAUGUAAUGUUUUAUUCUGGUCAUAUCCCCGCCUUGGGCAGCUCCAUCGUCUAUCUGUUUAAGUCUCCGAAUCAUAAGGCUAAAAAUGCCGUGAUCUACAUCAACCUUACCGCAGAAGGAACUCUUCAGCUGGUCUGCGGUCACCUCUAUGUAGCUUGGUGUAUGAUGCAUUAUCCACACGCUGUACAGAUAAAAUAAAUAGACACAAGGUUAUGUCAGCAAUUUUGGUGUACAAUAUAAAUACGAUGUAUUGCUAACCAUUACUUGACAUACGUUGCAAGAACCUUUCCCAGCAACCAUGUUCUCUAAAAAACCUAGUAAUGUUUGCAAGAGAACGUUGAUGUCUUACCAUUUAUCUGCAUGUGAUUCUUCCAUACUUGCUACGAAUCAGAAAAAAUCGUCUAUGACCUUCUUGUCAUGAUUGGCCAAUGCAGUGAUGCAUGGCCCUGCCACCUGGUUUGUGUGUGACACAGUUCUCCUUUUAACCACAGGCGAGUUGCUGACGUCGAAAUCCAAAGUCUUUGCGUUGAGGUUAAUAAUGUCCGUAAACCUUGUGUCCUUCUCAAAUACAAAAUAGUCUUGAAUAAUCUUAUCAACGGAUGUCGGUGAGGACGACCUUGUCUGCUCACUGAGGUACCAGUAGGGAGGAACAGAGUCAGCUACUGAACUUGCAGGAGUGCCCAAAUUGUCCGAAGGACAUGCGCUGGGGGUGUGUGAUGACUGAUUUGGUCCUUGACCAUCACUACUCCCACCCGCAAUGCCAUCAUUUCGCCAUGAUUCGCAUGAUGAUCUAACACCUUGAGAUCCGUUGUUAAUGUCAGCAGCAUCCCCAUCCGAUAUAUUUUCGAAUAAAGCAUAACCACCAUCUUGAUAUCUAGAGCUGACACUCUUAUUCUUGCCCACCUUUGGUGACGGGGUGAAAUCCAAACAGAAAUCAAAACUCGGCUCAUUGUCCCAGCGAACCGUGUUCACACGUUUCCUAACAUCCAUUGUGUUCCCCUCAGGAGUACUAGCUAGCAGGUCGGCCACAUUGAGAUCGACAUCCAUCUCAGAAUUAGACCUUAGCCCCCACCAUGUUGCGAUGCUAGUGCGUUGCUUGUUGCAUCGAUAUCCACACGAGGGCGUUUAUUUUGCAUAUGGAGAACGAAAGCUUCAUCGUUCCUCUUUUCUGGGCUGCUCACAUCUGCGAUCCAACAUAUAAAACUGAUGGCAACAACUUAUUAGUUUUACACACGUAUACAUAUGGGAUGCAUGCUAACAAGACUAAUAAAAAUUACGCGUCUGACAUGUCGUAACACGUACCAUCAGAAGCCAUAUCAGCCUCCACUGUUGACGAUUUCGUGGCAUUGUUGUCUCUACUUACAAUCGUCGACCCAGAUGCAUGCAUUACACCCUUAUUACGUGUAAAGUUGUUGUCAUUCAACAUUCUGUAUAUCUUCCCAUAAAAUUUUGCAUUCAUAACUUCAACAUGUUUAAUGAUGCCCUCUUGGUGUGCUUUCAGCUCAUUAUAUACGUUAAGUUUGGCCUGCACACAGAUCAGUCAUAUGGUUUCAGAAAAAUGUAUGCCAUCAAUUAAAAAGGACUGGCUCUACGACAACGCACAAAUAUGAUGUGAAACACCGCUGCGGUCAGGAAUGUCAGCUGAUGCGUCAAGCCCAUAGCAUCACAAAUCUUGGUUGCACAUGCCCAAGCAUCCCCCCUUGUUGCGCAUUAUCUUGGUCAUCUGCCCUGGAAUAUGCUGAACUAUCAACAUCACAUGGCUGCAAAACGAAACACAUAUAAAAGAUGAGUAUGCCCUAUCAGCGAAGUUCCGGUGCUAAUCUGGAUACUGAACUGGGUGGGGACUUACUGCUGAAAUCCCAUAAAUGAAAUCUCCGUUUUUCGAUGAAUCCAUUGGCCUUUUGUCGGCAUUGAUCAUGGCUCUAAUUUUAUCCACGGUGAAAGCUUUAAUUCUGGGGAACACAUCAUGUGUCAUGCUUAAAUCCCCCAACUGAAUGUUGUCUAGAUAGAAAACCUAAGAUACAUGCCGAAAAACAAAACAACAAAAAACAAUAUUAAUAACCCGUCGUUUAUCAGAUGCGUAUACUGUAACAUCAGCUGUGUGCUGAUGAAGUAAUGAGGUAUCUGAAACGUCUUGACCUGUAGGAAGAGCAGACAUCCUGUUAUGUUCGACACCGUGGCUUUCCUGCGAAUAUCUUGUUUCAUCUUAACGGCGGCUGCGCACAGUACUUCAACAAUAUAUCUUCCCCAAUUGAACUUAUCCAAGCUAUCCGGGUCGACCAGUGCUGGCCAAUAAUCAGUGUAGAAGUAGUCAUUCUUGACUGUCGGUGCAAAUACAUUUUUCAUCAUGAAUACGAUGUACGCAGUUUUGAAUGCAACCACCUCUGUUUGUGACAUCUUCCCCUUGUAGUCACGUGACAGUAUGGACUGUAUGCUCUUCAGACUUCUUACCUCCUUGUUCUCUAUCCCCAAACAACCACGCAAGUAUGCAUAUACAGUGUCACUCCUAUCAAGAGUUUUGUCCAUGACAUCUGUUCCAGCUGCCGGGAUUCCGAAUACCUUCUCAACAUCACUCUCAUUGAACUUAAAAACCUUAUUCGGUCCCAGUACAAAGGCUUGUCUGACCUCAUCCACCAUCCCUAGAAGCCAGACCAUAUGCCUGACGCUUAGUUUGCUGAUCAGAGGCAUCAGUAGAGUGCCACCCCAACCCAUAGAGUUAACAAUUUCUCGUUUCUGCUGGUCAAAUUGCGAAAUAAUAGAGUACACCUUUUGAAUUGAACAUCUGAAAGUAGGGCCAUUAUACCCGUCGCCCCUGUCUGUUUCGUCCUCUUCAACGAUUGUGGGCAGCUUGUUGAGCUUGCUGUGGUUCUGCAGAUUCAGAGCAUUGGUCAAAUGUAGAACUCUUGAUACGGAUAAACAAAAACGUUGAUUUCUUUUCUACGGCUGUUACCCAACAAACACCUUGGCGCAUCCCAUCUAACAAAAAAGGCUAACUACAAAACCUUGGUACUUCUAAAACUGCAUCAGUAUCAGCUACCCUGCACUAUCCAAUCAGUACAUAACGUGCAUAUCGUUUUGCAUCCCCGGAUCCCAGUAUCAACAGUGGGAGAUUCAAAUAUUAAGAUUACAUGCCAUCUUGCCUGCAUAAUGGCUGAUUAUUGACAAACACCUGACGCUUAUUUGCUUCCCCAAACCUGACCCUAAUCUUGCCUGCAGAAGAAACAAAUCCAUGAAUAAUCUCAAUCCUGGUAUGCGCCCCAUCCCGAAAAAACAUCCCGACCAUCUAUAAAACCUAUGCGAUUAGCUGAAAUAAAAAGUUUACCUGGUGUGGCUCCGUUCAAUGGGUGGCGGCGCGAGAUGACCUGGGCGGCGGUGCCCGCCGCGGCCCGGCACUGGUCGUCCCCGGCGGCCCGCCCGUCCCGGCGACUCCUCUUUCACCAGGCACUCCUGUCUCCCGCAAGGAUUUGGCUUCAGUUCAUGCUCUGCCUUCCUUGGAUCCCCCUCCCCCGCCGCCUAGCAUGCUCCUGGAGGUACGAGUGGGGACGCAGAAAGACCUUUCUCACGGGCCGCCUCCCCCCGUGUCCGAUAGUGUCUGAACUUUUCUCUAGCUGAACAGUACCCUAGGCUAUGAAAUAGGCAUAUCACGGGCGACGGGUACUACUAACCCACCCGAUGUAACCGUGGCCUGGCCAUCUUACAGUAAAGGCUGACGCAUAUCCCGAUGUAUAUGGACGACCCGGAUAAGAGGGCCGGGGUGCAGCUGUUCUAUUUUAUAUGUUCGCCCGGGGACGCGGAUUUUUUCGAACAGUUGCACCGGGGCCGCGCUAUCGUAGCGGUCGAAGCGACGCGCUUUCCCUCGAGAUGCCCACCGCAUGAUAGCAAUUUAGUGCAUGUAUUACCGUGUCAGACUUCUGUCACGGAUCCUGUCGUCGUAGGGUAACAGCUCUACCGCAUCCUCUGUAUUUUUUUGUCUCUACCCGACCCCUUGCAUACCGACGCGGCCCGUGAGCACGGCUGGUAUUUCUCCCCUAUACAGCGCACUGCUUGGUCUCCUAAGUCUUCGCUGUAAUGGAUUGGGUGCAAGGAGGCGAGUCAAUGGCGCCGGCACUCGCCGCACCGGGAAUCUCCCCGUCGGCCGACUAUAGGUACGUAUCAAGACUGGAUACUGGUGUACUAAUCACAACGCUCGUCCGGGAUGCGUUAUAGUCGACUUCUUAAUAUUCCCCAAGCGAGUUUCUGAAUCCCCUCUCCUUCUUGUUCCUGAGCCGGAGCACAGAUCCAACCAAGCCGCCGGCGACCUGUCCUCCGCAAUCAGGCCGAUCGAUGGAGGGUUAUCGGGGUCGGAUCUAUCGUGGCGUCCAGCCAUCCAGGAUAUCGCGCGAGUCCCGGACGAAACGCCAUACUCCAAGUAAGUUUAUCCAUCUUCAGUGUGUCCGAUCCACAAAAUCGUAGUAUUGAGCUCAUGUAUGUCCUCCUAAACUUUUGAUCUCAAAUUUUUAGUGCGCACAUAGGGCUAGUAACGCCUCCGGCCACACUGAAGGGCGCGAAUGCAUGCGCCUACAACUCAGAUUUUAAUCCAGAUGUACGUGAUGAUGAUUCUGGAAGCGUUAUAGUUGUGCCUGGAUGGAAGAAACGGUAAACACAUCCGCCUACACAGAUACACCAUUUAUCCAGAACUGGGUGAUUCGCAUGUCACAACGUUGAAAAAACAUAAGUUCUCAUCAAUAUUUCCGAUAAUCGAGCUUAUUUUCAUAUCAGGAAGUCUGUUAAUGAUAGUUUUUCAAAAUGAAAUAAUAAUGUUCGGAUGUUGCCUGGUCGUAGUCGCGAUAAUACUACCAUUCCACAUCAUUAAACAAUUUUAAUAUGUAUUUUUAGCUGGGAUAUUAUGAUUUUAUCGUAAUGAUAACAGAUUGCUUACAUUAUAAUCAGGAAUGUUGGGGCUAAUGGCCCUAACACGAGGACACCUCCGUCCACAAAGACAGCCAUCGAGCGACGUCUGCUCGAAAUGAAUGAUCGUAGAGGCAGUGAAAUCUUCGAGCCAGUGGUCGGAACCGACUUCGACUCAUGUCAAGAAGCAUAUGAUUUCUACAAUUUGUAUUCGUGGGAGCACGGAUUCGGCAUUCGGCGUGGCAGAAGCAGAGUUAACACAAACAAGUACAAGUUGAUGUACGAACUUGUUUGUCAAUGCGCGGUAUGUAGUAACUUCGUGGUCAUUCUUUUCCCAUCAAGAUUCUGUUCUCUACUAUAUUUCCAUGUGUGUCUGACCCGCUUUCACAUGUCGUGGAAAAAUUAUACAGGGAAAAAUUGACAAAGAAAACUCGUCAUCAUGCAAGAUCGACUGCAAGGCUAUGGUGAGAUUGCUGCGUACCAAGGAUCAUGGAUGGUACGUCAGUAUGUUUGUCAAGGAGCACAACCAUCGUUUGUCGGUUGGAUACGAUGCAAAACUCCAGUGGAAUUCACACGAUUUCAUAGACCCCGUUUCAUUUGACUUCAUCAAGAAUCUUCGAAGCAAUAAUAUCAGUGUUGGCAAGGUUUAUAACAUUUUGUGUGGAGCAGAAUGGAAUUUGCAAGCAGUUCCCUAUAGGAAGCAAGUAUUACGAACACUAUGUGCCAAAUUCUCUCAGGACACAAUGAAAGAUGAUCUGACAAAAACCAUGAAACUUCUGCAAGGUAUGAAGAUGGAGGACAUGAAUUUGAAGGUUGAGAUAGACGUAGACGGAGAUGGUCGUGUCCGUACAAUGCUAUGGGUAACAGGAAAAAAUCGUCAGGACUAUUUUCACUUUGGUGACGUCGUUACCUUCGACACAACAUACAAGACCAAUUUGUAUAAUAUGCCGUUUGCCUUGUUUGUUGGGGUAAACAACCACUUCCAGUCUGUUAUAUUUGGUGGUGCACUAAUGCGAGAGGAAACUGAAGCUGCUUUUAAUUGGCUGUUUAAGACUUUUGUGGCUCUGAUGAAUGACAAGCAUCCCGUGACGAUCCUAACAGGUAUUGGUUAAUCUAAUUAACACACCUAUUUGAUCACAAAAAUCCUACACAUCAUGAUUAGCCUGUGAUCUCAUGUUUAUAUAUAUGUGCAUUUGUUCAUCUUUCAGAUCAAGCUUUAGCUAUGAAAGGUGCGAUUGAGAGUGUUCUCCCGAACACUAAACACAGAUGGUGUAAAUGGCAUGUCCUCCGGGACGUUAAAGGAAAUAUUGGCCAUGUGUACAACAAGUCUUCUGGGUUCAAGAAGGAAUUCAACAAGCUAGUCAACGAUGUGAUGUGUGUCGAUGAACUCGAAUCCAAAUAGUUGUCCCUCGUGAACAGGUCCAAUGUCAGUGAUAAUGAGUAUAUGGUUAGACUAUAUGAUAAGAGGGCCCUGUGGGCAGAGCCGUAUUUCAAGGGAAUUUUUUGUGCUGGAAUGACAAGCACAUAGCGUAGCGAGAGUGCUAAUCAUAUGCUGAAACAGUACAUACCGAGGUCAUCCCCCAUGCACGUGUUUGUUCGCCAAUACAACAAAUUCCUUGGGUCAAGGAUGAGCGAUGAGGCAAGGGAAUUCCAUCUAAAUGCAAAUGUAAGACCCACGACUCCGUUUACAUCUCAUUAUCUAAUAUCAUUAUGAAUUCUGUUAGUCGGUUUGCUAACGAGCCAUCGUUUGUGUGUAGAAAUCACGUACUUAUGAAUCCACAUAUGCAAUAGAGGAUGAUGCUGCAUCAAUAUACACACAUUCUGUUUUGCUGAAGUUCCAAGACGAGCUUUAUAAGUGUGGGAGUUAUGUAGUGACACCUGUGGUGCACGGUGCACAAUACAUGGUUAGUGUCACACCAUCCAAAGUAAAGGAUGCAACAAAGAGGAAGUGGAGAAAUGUCAAGAUCGAUGACGAUAGGCAGUUCAUAAACUGCGAUUGUGGGAUGUUCGACCAUGUCGGUAUGUUGUGCAGACAUGCAUUGAAGGUAUAAUGAUGUCCGCACUGGUAUAAUGCGUUCUUUCCGUACGGUUAUCUAUCCCAGAUUAAUAGCAAGUCCGUAAGAUAAGUAGUUGCAACCAUUCACCCCAUGCAGGUAAUGAUUCGUGAAGAUUUUCUGAAGAUCCCCUCUAAAAAUAUUUUGAAGCGAUGGACUAUAUGGGCAACCGGAUCUUAUCCAGCAGGCAUGGACAUGAGCAAUAACGGGCCACAUACAUAUGACACUAGUUAUCUAAAGAACCUCCUGCAUAUUGCUGUUGAGGAUCUCAUGAAUGCGAGUUCACAUGAUAAGAAGAGUUUAGAAGCUGCGGUAGAAGGGAUGGGCAAACUCACAGCUGCAGUACGGAAGAACACUAGUAUGACUGAAACCAUCCAUCGUCUGGAACCGCCACACAUCGAGAGUUUCGUCAACAUCCACGUCAACACGGUUCUCGCUCCUGAACGGGUGAAAAAAAGUGGAAGGCCAGCGUCCGUGAGUCCUAAGUCAAAGAUGGAUUAUGCUGCAGCAUCUGCUAAGAAGAAAAAUAAGAGUAAUAAAACUGCGAAGAAAAAGCCAUGUGGUGAGUUGAAGCCAAGGGAGCGUGCUCUAUCUUCCUUGUAUGAUAAUGACCAGACUACAGAUACCCCGUCUAAGGAGUUAGAAGAUGAAGUAUCGCCAAAUAUCCCCAGCAAGAAGAGGAAGGUAAUAUGUAGCACAUGCCACGAGCCUGGACACACACGUCUGAAAUGCACCAGAAGAGGCAUUGCACAAAACCUGUUCGAGUGCCUUCAAUUAUAAUCACGCCUGAACCUGGGCAAGUUGUGCACAAAGUUGUAUUUGUUUGUACUACUCACAUGCACGUUGGUGAAUGCUUCUUACCCAGAUUAGUUGUAUGCAUGGAACCAGUUUAGAUGUUGUCAUUGUAUUAUUGUUAAAAUUAGAUGUCGCCUUCUAGCGUUGUCUGCUUUGCACGUAUGCUUUUGUACGCUACGCCUAUAUUCAAAAUGCUUGAAAGUGCACAACUUUAAUCGGGCACGUGUAGUGUGAAGCAAACGUAUUCUAAGCCUGCUUAUUUCAUAACAGCAUAUAAACGCAUCACAUUCGAAGAUCAUAUUUUCCUUAUAAUAUUUCGUAAAUUUACUUCCUGUAUGAUCUUAUUUGCUGGAUCACUUUGUAGUAAUACACGCAUGUUUUAUGCCGCAAUUGUACGUGGAUGCCAUUAAGGUUUGCCGAUAUGUUAAAUGUUGUCGUCAUGAACCAUGUAUUUACGUCCCUAUGCGUGGAGGUGGAUUGUGCUACAAUUCACAUCCGCUUUGUGAUUUACAUGGUUUAAAUUUACUUGCCUCGAUGUGAACUAUCUGUUGGUACAUAAUGCUAAAAUGUUGCAUGAUGCAGGUUGAAAAUGUAUGAUGGCAAAAAGAUGGCACCCGGCGCAUUGCCAUGAUAUAGAUCGUUGAAGACACGACCAUGCUUACAGGAGGUAUGUAUGCCGUCGGUGGUACCAUAUACCACGAUCUUUUCAUUUACUAAUAUUAAUAUUUACCGAUUCAACAUGAUUUGCGUUUUGUGUUCAUAUGUUUCGUCCAGUACUGGGCUGCUGAUCAUGUUAGAUUUUACAUAGACCACGUUUUACUGCAUGUUCGUAACAACGAUAAGAAUAAGCCAAAUAUUUUACACUUGUAGCCACGUUGUUAUUAAAAUAAAACCAUGAGCGUGGAGACGUGCAACAAACUUAAUUGUCGAUAACACUCUCUGGAGAGAACAAAAAACACAUAAUGAUCGAAACAAGAAUACCCCAACAGUGUGAUCGAAACACAUAAUUAACUUGAUGUUCGUACCGACACACAUACUUAAGUACCAAAUACAUGGAUAACGACAUAGGCAUAAGUUCCAAACCAGACCAAAUCGCAAAGCCGGUGCAUCAUAAGGCAUCCGGUACAUAAUACGACAUAACCGAUAUAACUAAGACUUGAUGAUGAACAACAUCAACGUGCGAUCUUGAAGUCGAUCACCGAUGGUACCACAUAAUAUAGCUAAUAUAGAUAAUGGAUAUUGUUGACGCCUCCAUUCUUAACAGAUCACUCCGUGAAGCUUGCCCCGUCGAUCAUGUUCUCAUUUUACUCCAUGGUCAGCAGAAGGUAUGCGAGUGCUCUCACGAACCUCUUCAUAGUCUGCGUGAAACCACGAUGACAGAAUGUUAGAUAGAUAGUGUUGGAUCAAAGAAUGACAUGGGAAGUAAAGGUUUGGCUUAAUGAGGAUGAUUGUUCACUAAUAUACCUUGUCUCCAUGUUUCGGGACCCUGGUGUCACCGAAAUGCCAGCAUGCAUAUGCCGCCUCCAAACCAGUGUAUCCACUGUGGAAUAAAAAUGCAUUUAGUUCAGAUAUCAACUAAUUUAAAGCAUGUAUAUUUGAUCUGCGAAAACAUCAUAUGAUGUUGUAGACAGUACCGUUUGAUCUCUUUUCUCCCAUGCCAUCCCGGUAAGAACUCCCAGUCGUUAACGUCCCAUUCCGGUUUUCCCCUUAUGAGCUCAACAGAGUAGUAUAGCGAUUUUAGAAUGGUUUCAGCCUUGUCUUGGUGCCUUUCAGUCAUAGUCCUGCACGACAUUGUUGUGCAAUCCACCAUGUAUGCCUUCUUUGAGUUUGUGUCAUAAACAUAUGUCAUCCAUAUAUCAUUCUCCUUGUGCGGUAUGACGAACUGCACGAUUCACAUCGAUCAUUCCGGGUUUAAGAGUUGCCCCGCAUCAUAAGAAAAAGUUUUUGUAUUAUCUAGAUGUAAUGACUCGUGAGUACCUUAUCACAGAACUGCGGGUUAUGAGUCUCCACACCACCAAUAUUAAACAUGGACAUAACAUAGUAUAGCGGGAAAUUGCCUCCGUCCUCUUCUAUGGCGAUUUCCUGGCAACCAAAACAAAAUAAUGUACGUUAUUAGACGAAGCAUUAGGAUCAAGAGAAUAAAGCAAAACGUUGCUUGCAUCCUCAUCUACCAUAUAUUUCUAUAUAUGUGGGGCGCCAUAUGGAAUUACACUUACAGCGAAUUCAGGUGGCAGAAAAUGCGUGCACUGGCAAUUAGGAUUGUUCUUUCGGUGGUCCGACUUGUCCUGAAGCUCGUUAUACAAGCAUGCUAUGGCAGCAAUAGUUUUCUUAGUCACAUCCGACUGCUCUGUCAACUCAUUUAUGAGAUGCUCCCUAGCAAUGAUCUCAGAUACAGGAUACACAAUUCUGAUAUAAGACCUGACACAAUCGAUUGAAUGUAGGAUUAUCAGCAAAUGAUAUGAUUUUGUUAUCCAGUCUACAACUGCACAAGCACUUAAGGUAUACGCACCUGGACGUAUCAGUCAAGGGCCCUGGUUUUACCAGAUAUUGGAACAAAACCAUUGCCCGUUCAUACGGGCAUAAAUCCUUUAGAUUGUGCCAAAUGAUGGGUACUCUGUUAUCUACCAUGAAAAUGUUUUGGUUUGCAACAUGUUGAGUGUUGUCCGGCACGACCUCCUCAAUUCCAAUGUCCGAGGCAGGACCCACGUUGGCGUUUCCAGAUAGAGACCUAGCCAAUGAUCCCGCCACAUUUGAUGCACCUGAAAAGAUAACACAAGCACACGGAUAGUCAAUCGCUGUUGGUUUGGCACCGGGAGGGGAUGGGGUGGGGUGGGGUGGGGUGCUGUUGUGUUGUGCGGGUGGACUAGUAUCAUGAUUGAUUUUUGUUCUGUGAUCUUACCAUCGUCGAUGCGGUGUGUCACCGUAAUGCUGGGUGGCGCACCGCGGUUUAAAGCCGGAGAUGGAUAUAUACCCCUCUCGGCGGCUAUGGACACCAUGGUUAGAAUGUUGAGCACGUCUGUAUGUCAAGUAAAAGAGAUUCAUGACCAUUAAUAAAAUGUAUACAAAUACAACCGUGUAACUGGUGCAACACGGACCUAUUGGCCGGAUAUUGUUGAGAUGGGGUGGUGACGGAUUGUUUAAGUGAGUUUAAAUAACAAGACACUCGUAUAAAAUCAUUACAGUAUGGUGACUAUCGCUUGUGAUAUGAUAUAUUAUUACGGGUGUACAAACAGGGUAAUUCAUGCUAACUAUAAGUUUGUGUAUGAAUGUUUUUAAUGAUUAAAUAAAGAGUAGGUUGAAUUGAUUUUUAUUUAUACACGUCUUUGAUGGACCUAACAACAUAUGUUUAACCAUUAUAUUUCGGUAUGGUCCAUAUUGUUAUAAUUAAUGUAGGGGGCAUUUAUGUUUCAUGACAGUAAGCUUAAUGGGGACUCACCAUCCGGCAUUGGGUUGGGGACGCCUGGUGGGACGCCACGUGAAGAGACAUCUUCUCCACCAGCGAUAUCAGCCGGACGCUCAUUCGUAUCCAUCAUAUAUAUGUGGCCCGCAGCAUUCAUACGAUAUGUAUUGUCAUGGGGACGAUUUACAGACCCCCCAUUGUUACUUGGUAUCACAGGAACCGCAUCAGCAUUGCCGAAAUUAUUUUCGGUGCAAUCCCCUGCAGGUGCAUUUUCAUUUUGGCGAUCUGAUUCGUGUCCCGGUUGGACGCUACGAGUGUCAUCGCGUGCAGCAACAUCCUGGGCAACGUCUUCUCGAAUGUGUUCGUCUGGCCAUGUGGAUUUUUAGGAUAAACUUAUCAAUAUGAUCAACAUGGUUAUUGAUACUGAAUGCAUAAAUCAACUGUUACACGCAUCAUUGCUUACUAUGCAUACCCUGCAUGUCUUCUGACAUUGCAGGCACCAUUGGCUCUUCAAAGCCAGUAUGGUCCAGAUUCGCAGCUUCAUUCUCGCAUACUACACGGGGCGCCGUUGGUAAAUCAUCUGCGCCAUUCAGAUGCACAUAUGAACGAUGUUUGAUUUAGUAUGACAGGUUAUCAACACAAUCGUCCCGGAAUGAAGUUGGGCACUAUGUUUACCUUCGGCUGUAUGUGACACACGAUCUAUAUGUUGAUCAGUUUUUGCUGCUGAUUGUUCGAUUGUGGGCUGACUCAUACGCAUUAACAUAUAAUUGAGAGCUGCAAAAAAAUUGAUGGCCUUGUGUUAUUGCUCGGUUGCAUCAAGAUAUAUUACUUUAUCAGAACGUUUUGGUAUUUGAAGUUUGUGUUGCAUCCGUCGUAUGAGCUGUAUUCCCUCCUAUUGAACUCUGUACAUUUGCAUACAAUGAUUUGGUAAGGUCAGUUCGGAUGGAGGUGAUAUUGCACUAAAUGUUCACUGACUGUUUCCUUACUAAAGUAAACAUGGGAAAGUUUUACACGAGUAUUAUAUUAAGUCAUUCCGAGUUACCAGUCAAUAUCGCAUUAUCUUGAGAGAACGUUUUUUCGUAAGUGGCGUCCAUAUUGAGUGGCCUUUUACCUGCGCCUAUUUAAAAUGUCGUGUUAACCCAUGAUCAUAUAACGUUUGUAUCAUGUAAACACGUGGCAAAAAUAAAUUUGAGAAAUGAAAGCCAACACAAACUUGUACUUACUUUCUCUCGUUCUAACUUCCAGGUUUGGGAUCCGUCGGCGAGAAGUAUUUUCGCAGUCGGUCGGCUCGAUCAUGUGGACCGGACGUUUUGCUGGGCAUGUAGCUACACGCUUGCCUAGUACUGCAUCUCCCAAUCCCGGAAGCAAUCCAUCCCUGAUGAGCAUCUUCAAGGCUGCACCAGCUACUUUUGUUGCUUUCUGUAUCCAAAAUCACGUUAUGAGUUAUGGAUCUUGUUUGCUAGAAAAUGCUUGAAUGGUUGUUAUCAUAAUUUGAAAGCCAGAAAGGAAUAAAGGGAAAAUAUUUUUGCCGGUGCAUGGAAUCAAACAUAAGAAAUUUUGUGUUUUGUUCUGUGAAUUUGAUGCGGGAAGAGUAGUACCUUGUCAUAAUCAGAAUCGUAGGAUUCAUGAUCGUCUGUGCUAUCUCGCGUGAUUUCUCGGUUAGGCGUCAAGCUAUUGUCCGAUGCCCCAAGGCGCGCUCUGUGAUCUCCUCCUUCGGCUUCAUCUUCUGGCUCUAAAAUGCGAGUACGUAAGAACUGAAAUGUCAAGAAACAGUCGGUCAGUAAGUAUCGGAAUCAUAAAAUGGUGUGGCGUGACAAAAUUCUCAGCAAGGUGGUCCAAAAAUGCAAACGACAUUAUACCUUGCGUAAGCCGUAUUUGUGAAGUAGGCCUGCCCUCCUGUGGUAUUUGGAUGAGUUAAUCAUGUUCUUCAUUACCGUCGGGUUGUAUGCUGCCAUGCGAGGAUCCUUAGACUCAUCGACUUGGUCAUUGGUGUUUCGGACCAGCUCCAUGUAUAAAGCCUGCGGACAUACGAUGUUAUAUAUACAUGCCUAAAAGGUGCAAACGAUUUGAACCGUGGACGUACACUAGGGGAGAAUGAUUGUUGUUACCUGAAGGUACAAGAGACAUCCCUCGACUGUCACUUUAGUCUUCAUUGCUUACAGUUCUUGGAUUGUGAUGGGAGCUUUCUGAAAUAUGAAGUCAACCCCGUACUGAGCCCAGUUGUACUGCUUGAUUCUUGAGACGUCUUUUAUCGCUUGAAGAACUUCCCUUGGUACAUCCUCGCUUGGCGAUACAACACUAGUGAUGACGAACGCGACGAAUGCACGCAGGAACGUCUCGUUCUGCGAGUAGUCCAUCUCUUUCCCUGCCAUGGCCUCCAGCACCCUACUGCAACGGUGUCUCUUGGACAGUGAUGCAAACUGCAAACAGCCGAUAGAGCAUGCAUGAGUCGGCGACUACCAAUGAAAUCAAGGUUGCAUUUACUACAUGCGUGCGAACACAGUUAUACACAUACCAGAACCUUGUCGUCCUCGCUAAGAUCGCCAUCUUGAGACAUGCAUGGCUGGAUGAUGACAUCUCCGCUUGGCACGCCCAUGAUCUUGCUGAACGAGCUCGCGCCUAUCGGCGCCGAGUUCGAAUGCCCAUCGACUAGAGCCUUGUCGAUGACAUGAACCAGACUCACCAAGAAGACUGAGAAUCGUCUAUCAAGCUUGUCACACUCCGGGAUCUCAAGAAUGCCGUCAAACCCUAUGGACCUGAUUAGGCCCAUUUGGUAUGACGUCAUUUUGUCGAUCACACGGCGGAGAAGCUUGAUGUUCGCGCUGCUGAAGUUGGUUUCGAUCUUUGUCGGAUCGUAGUGGUAAGCCGACUCGGCCAUGGGGUUGCUCAUCGCGGGGGCUUGAUGAAGGUCUCUGGUGGAUGGGUUUGACUGGAAGCUUUCGUUCGGCGAUGCAGCCGAUUCAGACUGCAUCUCUCUUCUCUCCCGGAGAUGAGCUCCAGGAGACCUCAAAUGGAUGGAAUGCCUGCAGGCUUGUAGUGGGCUGGGUGUGUGCCAAUGUAUAUGUUGUUCGCUUGGCAACCCUAAGGGACUAUAACAUUUUCAAAUGGAGGCGGACCCUUAGACUUCUGCAGCUAUGCUAGAACUCUAUGGUCAAGUCACUGUUCAGAUCAGAAUCCAGUUUCUCCAACGCAGCGUCCCACCUCCUGCUAUCUGUUUUGUCUCUUGUACAUGCUCGUGAACCGGCGAUGCCGGAGGCGCAAGCCGGGUAGCCAGCACUCCCUAGACGUAUACGGUUGCUUGCCAGGGUUGGAAAAACGCCUUUUUCAUGGCUCUGUUGGGCACAUCGAUUCCAUAACCUUUGAUGUGCAUGGCCAAUGCAAACAUGUACAUCCCGUCCUUGCCAUGGUAACCACAGCACAAAACGUACAGGGCCAUUGUGUAGUACAAGUAGUACAACCCGCCAUCCAGUGACAACGUAUCGCCCGGCCGGAUUGCCGGCUUAAGUGUUUUACUGACUAACGUAUAGGUAUACGAGAAUGCAUCGGGACCUUACGAGUGUGGCUUAGGCAUCGAAACGCGUGUGUAGAGAAUGAUUCGGCAUGCGCAAUCGAUUAGCCAUCCUGACGCAUUAAGUGACCUGACCUGGAAUGCGCACUAUGCAUGGUUUUAUGAACGUCAUCUUGUACAUAUCCCAUGUAUGCAUAUAGUGGUCAUUGCUGUGUUAUGCCGUGAUGCACCAUAUGUAAAUAUUACAUAUAAGUACUGUAAAUUUGUGUGCGAUUUGAGUGUAUCAUUAGCAAACUUGGUGUUGUUCGCAUAAUUUCAUCAUCUAUGCAUGAUAUAUCCAGGGCCUACUUUUUUUUAUACUUACUGUGUACGAUUUGUAUGCGUGCAAUAACUCAUGCAAAUCUUGUUGCAUGCCUUUUUCCAUACACAUCAUUUAUUUUAUGAUAUAGAAAACAGCCGCAAAUUAUUUAAAAGCCAAAUUCCGACGGGCGCUGUCUUAAGAAAUCAAGUUUGUCGAAUUUAUUUUAUUUUGUUUUACCGUCAUAAGAAGUAGAAAUUGGUAUAUCAUCCAUGGUGGACUGCAUGGAGUAAACCCCUCACUGAUGCCGCUUUGACGGCUUGUGCUGGAGGGUGCACCGAAAGUUUUAAUGUUGUGCCAAACCACGGAGACAGGGGGCGUGGUAGUGGGGUGUGUCGGGAAAAUACCUCGCCACUGAUAUCCAGACCAUUAAGCUCGGAGGUUAGUACCCGCCGAUGAGUUCAUUAGGACAAGAGCAGUCUUACGUCACAUAUUAACGAUUAAGCAAGAACUUCCUCCAUCCAUGUUUGGUACGGUCCACAUAUGCCCCCCUCCCCCACAAGUAUAUUUUGCCUGUACCCGCGGUUUAUUUCGAACACUAGCAGCUGGGCCGCGUUGUUAUGCCAUUCUAAGCCUUGCACUUUACCUUUAGAUGGAUUGUCGUUAACCCCACCCCAUGAUGGUUCCUGUGUAUAUUGUUUACUCGCAUCCAUUCCAUCGUUGUCACAUUGCGACGGCUAGAUUGCCAUCACAUUUUGGGCAUUUCAAAAAACGUAGGCAUUUGGCAAUGGGUGUUACUUUUUUGUUGAAUCGUCAUUUGUCGCUGGUUUGUGCUCAUGCAUGUUCUCCCCGACAGCACUUCGCAUGUUGUACGUGUUAUCAUGUGCCGGACGAUCCAAGUAUAAGUAUUAUCAAAACGGAAAAUGGUGGAUGCCACAAAUGCCACCCGACCUUCUCUGGUUGAUCGUGGCAAUGUUGUUGUCUUGGCCGAAGGUAUUGUUAAUGGUUUGGGAUGGAUACAUGUACCAACAAUCAUGCACGGUUAAAUAUGCGUCAAGUUAUUGAAUGUGGACCCUGUGUUGUUCGUUUAUUGCAUCGAUGCUUUUUUUUAGUCCACAUCCGCCUGACAAAAUGUGAAACUGCAUGGAGUAGAACCAUCACCGAUGCCUCUUCAAUGGCUUGGUUGGAUGGUGAACCAACAGUUAUGAUGCCGUGUCAAACUAAGGGGACAGGGGGCGGGUCACAGGGGGGGAUGUCGUGAAUAUACCUCUCAGAUGAUAUCCCGACCCUUAAAACCCAGUGGUAAACACCCACCGAUGAAUUCGAUAGGAGAAGAGCAUGAAUACGCUUGAUGUAGCCGGGUUACGGAAGCCCAUAAGAUUUCUAUGCAUGGGUAGCAAGGUCCGACCAGUCCAGCAAAGAACUGUUGGAAGAGUCACGACCAAACGGAGGAAGCAUGACCCCGACAAAUGUCAAACCUAGCCUGGGUUGUUUGGUGCGGCAGAUAAUAUGGGUGACCUUUCGGGUGGGGAAUAAGACCGAACAUGGGGGUGGCCCGGCGGAAUAUUUUUUUUAAUUUUCCAAUCAUCCCCUUUUUAAUAUGUGUAUUGUAGUUGAAAGAGUCUAGUUAUAGUCAUUUUGAAUCAUGAUGUACCAACAAAAGUGAUAUCAGUACUCAGGAAAAUGGUUGACACGAAAAGCAACAUGUUGAGACAUGUAUCUGUCACAUUGGGAUUGUUGGGUUUACACGCCAGCCGAAGACACAUGAGUUCUGGCAAUGCACAAAACGAAUAAAAGUGUCUAGCACAUUUGCAGCAAACUCAAAAAUGGACUAUGUAUGUUGCACGGUGAACGUGCAUAUAGCUAACCUGAAAUUGCCGCCCCAUCAAUGCCUUGUGUGGUAGGGCGCACCUAUAUGUGCCAUGCAAUGGCAGCAACGUAUGGUUAUGGGGCGGGGAGGGGGAGGAAUGUCGGUGGUAUAACGUGUGUAGUACCAACCGGCUUGUAAGCCUAGUGGGCAGUACCCGCUGACGGACACAAUAGAACAAGAGCCGUCGUAUCAUUAUGUCUGGUAACGCCGUGUUACGUAAGCCUGGAAGAUUACAUUGCAUGAUUGGCAAGACCCGGCAAUGGAAGCAAGAAUUGUCGGAGGAUGCACGACCAUACGGAUGGAGCAUGACUAUGCAGAUGAUAAAACUCGAGCGAAGUUGAAUGGUGUAGAAGAUGAUACGGGUGACCCUUCAUAGGUACUACGUGCCCCAACAUGGGGGUGGCUCUGUAUAAUAGUUUCUUUUUGCGGAAAGAGUAAGAGCCGGGAUGUAUCGCGGUUGUGCAUUAAAAGUCGGAACGUCAACAACCAUAUGAUGUGUGCAACCGAAUGAAAUACCCCAAAAACUAUUUUUAACUCCUCAACCACAUAUAAGAUGAAACCUAUUAUCAUUUCCGAAUAGGUCGAUGAAUCAUGCAUCGUUGGUGUCCGGUAUGAUGCUAACAGCUUUGGUGUAUCGUUUGAUUUAUACAUACGACAUGCCCGGCUGUGAUCUAUCAAAUCAUUUGUAGUGAGCUUGCCAAGGCGCAACAUUUUUUGCUUAACAAGCAGUUAGUUCCACCGACACCCAAAACCAACAAUGUCAGUCCGAUGCAUGAAUCGAAUGGAGGGGGGACGAUCAUUGUUCACCGCCCACCACGUCCCAUCGUGAUGGAGCAGAACGCCCUCAUUCCCCCUUGNNNNNNNNNNNNNNNNNNNNNNNNNNNNNNNNNNNNNNNNNNNNNNNNNNNNNNNNNNNNNNNNNNNNNNNNNNNNNNNNNNNNNNNNNNNNNNNNNNNNNNNNNNNNNNNNNNNNNNNNNNNNNNNNNNNNNNNNNNNNNNNNNNNNNNNNNNNNNNNNNNNNNNNNNNNNNNNNNNNNNNNNNNNNNNNNNNNNNNNNNNNNNNNNNNNNNNNNNNNNNNNNNNNNNNNNNNNNNNNNNNNNNNNNNNNNNNNNNNNNNNNNNNNNNNNNNNNNNNNNNNNNNNNNNNNNNNNNNNNNNNNNNNNNNNNNNNNNNNNNNNNNNNNNNNNNNNNNNNNNNNNNNNNNNNNNNNNNNNNNNNNNNNNNNNNNNNNNNNNNNNNNNNNNNNNNNNNNNNNNNNNNNNNNNNNNNNNNNNNNNNNNNNNNNNNNNNNNNNNNNNNNNNNNNNNNNNNNNNNNNNNNNNNNNNNNNNNNNNNNNNNNNNNNNNNNNNNNNNNNNNNNNNNNNNNNNNNNNNNNNNNNNNNNNNNNNNNNNNNNNNNNNNNNNNNNNNNNNNNNNNNNNNNNNNNNNCACGCGCACCACACCCCAUAAUAUUGCAUCAGAACACCCUCCUUCCCACCCCUCCUACCAGCAUAACAACCUCUCCAUGAUGCGGAUAUGCAAUAGAGAUGUUCGGAUUAGAACACCGGAUCAACAUCGUCGGUGUACAGUCAUGAUCGUACAAAUACGGUGUAACAUUUAGUUUAUAUAUACACCAUAGUCGGCUAUGACUAAACAAAUCGCUUUUUGUUGAUCUUGAAAACGCGCGCUUAUUUUGCUUAACCACAGUUAGUCCCACCGACACCCGACCCGUCAAUAACACUUGGAUGAAUCGACCGAUCGGUAUCCGGGUGUGGUGAUAGCAUCUAAUGAAAUCAUCACCCGUGCGAGUCAUAUUUGUGGGAGUAGGUCACGGGGGUGACUAUUAACAGUACACAAUGACAUUUCGAACAGUAGUACGUUGGUGGUGCACCAAUGCGCAUCCUCAAUCUUAUGGUAGGCGGUGAUGGGUUAGUAGUAUGUGUUGAAUCAUCUUUAGACGCACAAAAAAAUGCGUGUACGAUAAGACAUACCGAAAAUGUCUUAUAUAAAGUUCACGUAACAUAAUGCACGAAACACUGAUAUGCAUUCCAUCGCUAUAGGUUAGGGUGUCAACGUUGAACAUUUUCGAUAGCCCUUCACGGCUAUUACACCACAAUGAUACCCGACAUCCACCGCGGGGGCAGAUGGAGGACUCACGACGAACCUUGCCCCGUGUAGAUAAUCUCCAUCAUCGUGCCUUUUUUUGGUGCGGUUGUACGUCAAAUCAAACCAUCCGUUUGAGAAUACAUAAAAAUUGUAAAUCAAUCGUCAUGUAGUUAUAUGAAAAAGGGAAAAACGAUAACUUUCAAAUGAUACAUAUUUAAAAACACGAUAUCAUAUCAAACACCAUUCGCACCUAGUGACAUGCGUUCUACAUGAUCAUAGGCGUUGAUGUACCGCGUUUUACUCGCACACACUAACGACUAACCCUGAUACGAUUUAUACCCAAGCACACCAAAUGGAUCCACCACAUAAUGAUCGUCUGACCGAUUAGGUAAAUUGUGCAUACGAUCUACUUAUUUGACGAACACUAGCACUGCAACGGCCAGUAGUAUGCAGCAGCAUAUCAUCUUGAUGGCCUGCAAGCUCCCUUCUAUUUCUCUUAACUGACGGUUGAGCCCCACCGUUGCUCGUGCGGCUUCAACUUCAUGCUGGUUGACUGCUUGCGACGUCACCGCUACAGCCUGGCCAGUGUCGCGGCCCAUCGAGCCUGCAUCCGUGUUGCGGUUCAGGAAUGCACGGAGAUAGACCUUCUCUGACUUGAAGAAACCACAUCCGCCCGGCCUCCCCUACAGUAUCACAACGAAACUACUACUCGGUCAAGGGGGGAAUCAUUAUGGAACCAAUUAUGCAACAAUAAAAUGAAUGUUUAUAGCAUCCUAUCUAAGACGUGAGAGCACUCUCAGGAUUUGGUCCACCGCGGAUCGCGGUGGAUAUACAUGCUUACUGUGUAGUAUGGGCACUUGUAGAAUCGCUGCCCUUCGGUCUCAGGCCUCGUCGAAACGAUCAAUUCCACUUGCGUUCUUCCACAAAACGGACAUGUGAUCAGAGGCAACGGGGCGCCCGUGUUCGUCCACCCAGCGGACGAACUUGUCGACAUAGCUAUAGAGGCCGAUCAGACGGUGCGAGACUAGAUGAAUAUAUCUAGCUGCGUGGCUUGUAUGGAUAUAUAUAGCCUGCUUGGAUGUGUAUGAUUGCAUAUGCGUUGUGCGCGCCGAAGACAUGCAUGGUAUUUCUUUUCUUUUUGUGAAUGGUAUCUUGUCUCAGGGGUGAGAGACUUUCUAUCAUUUCGAUAAAGCAUAUGUUUACUCUAUUGUUUUACCGUGGGGUGACGUUGAUGCAACGCCCCGCACGGCGUAUUCACCCCCAUGAGACAUGCUGUAAAAAAAUGGAAUGAUUAAAUAAUUAUAUGGUUCAACUUUGGCACACACGUACGAACCAGUGGGACAUAAGCUUUGGCUUCGACCUACACACCUUCAUGGUCUUGUUACGCAUGGAAUCUACUUUACCCUGUCCGCGUGCCGGUUUCUGAAAAAAUUGGCAACCGUAACGUCACCUCUGUCUGCGCGUCUUACAUGGCGGAUGGAUCAUUUGUGGAUUGUAUACUCACUCUUCACUCACACUACCGCAGUCCCGCCAUAGAAAAUCAAAGGGCAUCUCCGCGCGCUACCACCCGUGGUUCACCCUGCAAUGAUUCCUGCAACGCCAAGUCCCUAUGCCUGUAUAGAUUCUUCUGUAUAUUCCAGCACAGACCUUGCGUACUUAAUGUUUGUUUGAAAUAUGAGCGGUCUAGUUUUGCUUCCGUAAUUGGUACAUACGCUACCACUCAAAAAAGGUCAGUGCUUGCGUGACCAUGUGUUAUACCUAAGAUGAUACGAGGAUCAAUCAUAUGAUUAUGCAUGAGCUAGUCGUACUACUACAGUAAAAAUCAUGUUGCUAUCCCACGCCCCACAACCGGUGAUUCACAUACUCAUGGCGUUUUCUGGCUACCGAGGUCUCUGAAAAGAGUGGUAAGCGGCAUGGGUCUGUGACGCCGGGCCUCGCUGCCACAUCGCGCUCCGUGCCUUGUCUCGGCUUGUGCGUCCCUGAGUGCGCUGCUUCUCACGAGAGAACAGCGCAGCGCCGCCGGCCAAUGCAUGUUAGUCACACCGCUGGCACCUCCCACCAAGCAGUUAAAAACAAAAGACCCAUUACAAUCCACUCCCCGAUGCAUGCAUGCACCCGUGAGCCCCCGUGUCUCCACCACCCUCACUAAAACUCCUUAAAUGGAUGUGGGCGACCAUUGCAUUUGUACAUCACACGCAUCGCAUCGCACUCAGCCACCACAACACUUUCAUAGUUUUUAGACAUGUCGGCACCUCGUCGCUCCUCGUCCGGACCGCGGGGCAGCACGCAAGGCCAGAACGUAGGAUCUGGGAGCAACUCCUAUAUCUCUCGUUCUACGGCUGCCUCGCAGGGCCAUGCAAGCUCCCAGCCCGGAUGCUCACGGCGAUGGCCAGUAAGAAACUUUUGUAUUUCCUACUCACCAUGAUAUACAUACGUGUUUUGCGUUGCCGGAUUAUAACCGUAUUCUGCAUAUUCUUUCAGCUCGCACGUGACGACAUGCUCGUGCCAGUCACCGUCAAGAUGUUAGGCGACGCAUCUGUACGCAUAGUUGAUGGCAAUUGUCCGGUUAUCAAUGGCUAUCGCCCGUCCACUGUGAUUCCACCAUUCCCAUUUCCGAAUUAUUUAUUGCCGCGCUAGAUAAAUUUACCAAUACCCAAGUCAUUAAAAUUGAUAGGUCACCUUGGUUGCACGACUAAUUACACCAUCUGCCACUGGAAACUCUUUUCGAUUUUUCCUGGAUGAUGGCACCGGCAGGAUCGUUUGCACCUACUGGUAGGUGGUAAAACGAUUCAUAUGUCCCGUUGCUGAAAAUUGUUGUCCGCAUAAUAUUACUGAUCUGGUGCUAUCCACAGGUUUGCUGGGCACGGUGGUGACAAUCGCGUCAUGAACAUACCAUACGUCUCGAAACGAUUAACAUUGCUACACAUGUAUAUGACCCGACAAACACGUAACAUUAGUAAAAAUUAGGCACUUGAACACAUUUAGUGUGAACUAUCAUAUAUUCACAAACGCUUCGCUGAAUGUGAACUAGUGUUGGAGACUAUGUGGAUGUUAGCGGGCGUCCAGACGUGAACUCGAACACCCCUACAAUCACCGUGUUCAGUUGCAGGUGAGCAUGAUUUCACUGAUAUCAAUGGAAUCAUCUUGUUUGGCCAAAAAUGAUUUUCUAACGCAUUUGAUUUCGUGCAGACCUAUUGCUCCGGAUUUCGACCGUAUUACACUUCACUUCCUGCAAACAAUUUAUGCAUACCUUGAUCUACAGCGUGUACGCUGCAUUCCCCUGUCUUCUUUAGUUUCGUAAUCAUUGUUCAUAUUGGAUGAGUUAUAUGUUAACAAUAAUGUCUUAUGUUUGUCUUUUAUGUCGUACCAAAAAAACAGCCUCCUCCCGAAACGCUCGUUACGGACAUGUACAAUUUGCUGCGAGACUACCUCGACACUGGGUGUUUAUUGAUUUGAUUUUCUAUGCGUAUGAUCCAUACUAUGGUUGCCAAUUGCAAAAUGGGAAUAAUUCCAACUGUUUUAUGAUGCAGUGACGAGGGUUUACCCUUCUCGUGGAUCUGCACAGGCACCAGCUUCAAUCAUGUUAUUGUUAGGUAUUUUUCGUUAAAAUGUCUGAAUUCAAAAUAUAAACCCAUAAAUGAAAAUAAACAUCCAACUAACAUUACAAAUGUGUGGUUAUGUGAAGGAGGGCUUUGGAUAUCCUUGUAUCUCAUGAGUUGGCCACAUAUGACCCUGCGGAAGACAAGUACAGUCUACCAUGAAGUGUAUUCGUCACCGGAGGAUCCAGACCAACAACACACAAUUAUGAUGCAUGCUAUAUUAAGUCGUGUCAAUAAAGAAAAUGCGAGGGGGGUGUCCGGACACCUGAUCGCCUGAUAGCAUGUCCGGCGUCAUAUCCCCAUCGCAUCAGUGUUGUUUCAUGUUAUAGUUAUGUACGUCUAGUUAAUCUAGAAGUACGUAUUGCGUAUCAGUGGUCAUGUGUGACCCACGUCUAAAUCGCCUUGUAUCGUUAUUAUUUACUGUUUCGCCUAUGCCUUAUCCCGGCAACAUAUUAGGUGUAUUCGGGCGUCCUGCAUUUUUGGCGUCCGUUAUUGAUUGUAAUGAUGUCUGUCGAAGUUUGAAUAAUGUUGUGUCUCUGCAACUAGCAUCAUUUGUUGUUUUUAGUGGUCACCUUAUGUUCUUCCAACCGAUCGAAGCAGAUCUUGCACAUCCUACAUGCAUGAUCCCGAAGAAAACCGUUGAC
rnacentral:lncRNA from 1 species